ACAACACCAAUCUAAGUCUAGUUUUGAUACUCACAUAAUUCUAUCCAUCACUUUUGCUGUGUGAUGAUAAGACCCACAACAACCUCAAUGAAGAAUCCAGUUGGUUUUUUAAGAUUGAUGAUGUUUGUGCUGUGUGUAGUGUCGGAGGUUGUUAAUGGUGAAGAGGAGAUUACAUGCAUUCCAGAGGAGAGGGAAGCACUCCUCCAAUUCAAGGAUGGCAUCGUGGAUGACCACGGCAUGCUCUCAUCUUGGACCACUCCUCACUGCUGCCAAUGGGAGGGGAUUCGCUGCAGCAACCUCACCUCCCAUAUUAUAAGCCUCGACCUUCAUGGAGAUGGAGAACGUUAUAUGAGCGGAGAGAUCCACAUGUCGUUGAUGGAGUUGCCACAAUUACAGUAUUUGAACCUCAGUUCUAAUUCUUUUCCAGACACUCACAUCCCAGACUUUCUUGCUUCUCUCAAAAACUUGAAAUACCUUGAUUUAUCGUAUUGUGAUUUUGGCGGAAGAAUUCCAAGUCAAUUAGGCUCUCUUUCUCAUUUGAAAUACUUAAAUCUUGCGGAUAAUUCUCUGAACGGUUCAAUCCCUUAUCAGCUUGGAAAUCUCUCCCAAUUGCAGCAUCUUUAUCUCAGUUUGAAUGGUUUUGAAGGAAAUAUACCUCCUCAACUUGGAAANNNNNNNNNNNNNNNNNNNNNNNNNNNNNNNNNNNNNNNNNNNNNNNNNNNNNNNNNNNNNNNNNNNNNNNNNNNNNNNNNNNNNNNNNNNNNNNNNNNNNNNNNUUGCAGCAUCUUUAUCUCAGUUUGAAUGGUUUUGAAGGAAAUAUACCAUCUCAACUUGGAAAUCUCUCCCAAUUGCAUGAGCUCUAUCUUGUAGGAUAUGACGGUAAUCUCAAAAUUAGUGACGGAGGUCAGUGGCUCUCAAAUCUUAUUUCUUUAACCCAUCUUUACUUGGAUUCUGUAUCAAAUCUUAAUCGUUCUCAUACUUGGUUGCAAGGGAUUGCGAAGCUACCUCAAGUAAAAGAACUAAGUUUAACUAAUUGUAGCCUUUCCGAUGAUUUCAUUCUGUCAUCUAAGUUCAAUUUCUCUACUUCCCUCUCUGUCCUUCAUCUUUCUCAUAACACCUUCACAUCAAUAGUAUUCCAGUGGCUGUCAAACAUCACUUCAGACCUUGUUGACCUUGACCUUAGUGCUAACCUCUUGGAGGGUUCCACAUUAAUUGAUUUUGGCAUCGUCAUGAAUUCGCUUAGGCAUCUUGACCUAUCCUCAAACAAUUUGACUGAAGACCUUCCCUCCAUUCUCGGUAAUUUGUCCAGUGGAUGCGUUAGACAAUCAUUGCAAGAAUUAGAUCUGUCAUGGAAUCACAUCACUGGUACUUUGUCUGACAUUUCAAUAUUCUCCUCUUUGAAAUCAUUGUUUCUAAGGGGAAAUCAGUUAAGUGGAAGGAUACCUGAAGGUGUCAAGUUACCAUCUACUUUGGAGUAUUUUUUAAUUAGCUCAAAUUCAUUACAAGGUGGAAUUCCAAAAUCAUUUGGGGAUGCAUGUUCUUUGUGCUAUUUGGACAUGUCUUUUAAUAGUCUGAGUGAUGAGCUUCCGAUGAUAAUUUCUCACUUGUCUGGAUGUGCUAGAUAUUCAUUGCAACAAUUAUAUCUACAUGAUAAUCAAAUCAAUGGCACACUACCUGACUUCUCAACAUUCACAUCUUUACAAACAUUAGAUCUUUCUGAAAAUAAGCUAAAUGGAGAGAUUCCUAUGGACAUUCAAUUUCCACCUAAAUUGGAGACGCUCUACAUGUAUUCAAAUUCUUUAAAGGGUGUGCUGACUGACUACCACUUUGCUAAUAUGUCUAAGUUACAGAACUUGUAUUUAUCUGACAACUCAUUGGGCUUUGCAUUUACUCAAAAUUGGGUUCCAUCUUUUCAAUUGCUCUCUAUAUACUUGAGAUCUUGCCAGCUAGGUCCAACAUUUCCCACGUGGUUGCAGACACAAAAUAAAUUUGUCGAAAUUGACAUUUCAAAUGCUACAAUAUCAGGUAUUAUUCCUGAAUGGUUUUGGGCUAAAUUACCUCUACAAAAGGUGAUGAAAAUGAAUAUUUCAUACAACAGUCUACAAGGAACAAUUCCAAAUGUUUCAUCAACGUAUGUUUCUAGUUCCAUUCACCUUGGAUCAAAUCGAUUUGAAGGUUCCAUUCCUCUAUUUUUACGGAAUUCUAAAAUUCUUGAUUUAUCAAAAAAUAAAUUCUCAAAUCCUCUUUUAUUUUUGUGUGGAGGUGAUGCAAAUUCAGUUCAAAUUCAUUUAGACAUUUCGUAUAAUCAGUUAUACGGAGAUAUCCCAGAUUGUUGGAAACAAAUGAACUCACUAGUUUAUUUGGAUUUGAGUUAUAAUAACUUUUCUGGAAAAAUUCCAACUUCAAUGGGAUGGCUUCUUGGUCUUCAAGUAUUAUUGUUGAGAAACAACAAUUUAGUAGGAGGAAUCCCAUUCUCCAUAAGAAAUUGCACAAAGCUAGUAAUGUUUGAUUUGUCAGAAAACAGAUUAUCAGGAUCUAUCCCUGAUUGGAUUGGGACAAAAAAAGAGUUGCAAAUAUUAAGUCUGAGAAAGAAUCAAUUCUUUGGGAGUUUACCAUUAAUGGUUUGUUGUCUAAGAAGGCUUCAUCUCUUGGAUCUCUCACAAAACAACUUAUCUGGAAAAAUUCCUAAAUGCAUAAACAACCUUACUUCAAUGGCUCAAACAACAUCUUCAAUAUUUGAUGAAAGUCAUUGGUAUACGUUGGAAAUUGGUCUUUCUAUUACCACCAUAUUUUACUAUUUGAAUGCAUGGUUGACAUGGAAAGGUUCAAAACAAAUGUUUAUGGAUAAAGGUUUGUCACUUUUAAAAAUCAUUGAUCUCUCAAGCAAUCAGUUCUCCGAAGAAAUUCCUAUAGAAAUAGAGAAAUUAUCUGGAUUGAUUUCGUUGAACUUAUCAAGAAACAGUUUGAUUGGAAAAAUUCCUUCAAACAUUGGAAAUAUAACAUCACUUGAUUCUCUUGAUUUGUCAAGAAACCGACUUGUUGGUUCAAUUCCUCUAAGUCUUGCUCAAAUUUAUAGACUUGGUGUGUUAGAUUUGUCUCAUAACCAACUUAGUGGAGAAAUUCCUACAAGCACACAAUUACAGAGUUUCAACAAAUCUAGUUAUGAAGAUAAUCUUGAUCUUUGUGGACCACCACUUGAAAAACUAUGUAUUGAUGAGGAGCUAACAAAAAAACCAAAUGUUAAUGUUUAUAAAGAUGAAUAUUCAUUUUUUAAUAAUGAAUUUUUCAUAAGUAUGGCAAUUGGAUUUGCUCUAAGUUUUUGGAUGGUGUUUGGCUCAAUCUUAUUCAUACGUUCUUGGCGAUGGUCUUACUUCAACUUCUUGAACAACUUAGAAGAUAAUGUUCAUGUCAAAAUAGCAAUUGUUAGAGUAUUUAAGCAUGACAGAGAUUAUCAGGUAACAAUAUCAUGUGUUAUAUAACUUUGCUUUCUAUAUGUAUUAAAAAAUGCACACAUUAUACCAUAUAUUCCUUUUUCAAUAUUUCUAAAGCAUUUUAUUGAUUAAAGUAAAAUUAUCAAUUUUUUUUAAUAUUGAAUCAAUUUUUACAAUUCAAUUAGUUGCUUUUGAAAGUAAUUACGUCAAAGACAUAAGAUUUAAUGCACAAGAGCAAUUAAAUGUGUAAAUAUAACAUGUUAAGUAAUAAAAAAAUGACUUCUUGCUGGUUUAAAUGAGUGCCUUUAGUGUUUAUUUGUUUCAUGUUUUUUUAAUAAAAGUAUGCCCUGGACAACCUUUUGCAAAUUUAGAUGAAAAGUUUGCAUACUACAAAAUAAAAUAGCUAAUAAAAUAAUUGAUGUUCUUGAUAGUCUUAUAAGAAAAAAAAACAACUGUUUCUUCUGAGAUUUUCAAAGAACUAACAUUCUUUACAUUUUAUUUUUCAAUUUUCAGGCACCGGAAACGCAUCGUCUUGCACGACUCCACCUUUGAGCUUUUUGUGGUUGGAAAAGGUAAUGGUUUCAUUAAAUUAUAAACGUCAUUAAUCAUUGUUCUUGUGGUGAAAUUAAAUUGUCAUACAUAUUGUCAUACAUAUAAUAAGGAAAUGAAAAUAUAGAAUAAGUUAAGAGGUUAAAACUGAAAGGAAAGUAUUGGCAAGGAUGUGAGUGUAUGUGAAACAAACAUAGCAUAAAAUAUAGAUCCCACUCUGCACUCCAAAAUAUACAUAUUGAAUAUACGUCAAUGAUAUUUCUAAUCAAUUUAUGCAAAAAAUAUUUCAAGGUACGAAUGUAUGUUGAGUUCUAAAAUUGAUAUCUAUAUGUUAAAAACAAUCAAUAAAUUGAUCCUUUUAAAUUUAAAGAUUAUCAAUUUAGUCUUUGUCACUGUUAAUACCCUUACGAAUUCUAUUUUGGUGCUUAUAGUACAUGCAGUACAUCGCUUGAGCAUCAACUGAACCAGCCCUCACGUAUUUGAGUGAAUUGAACACGAAACGUGUUCUAUGCUGUAAUGGGAGACUCAAUUUUCAAAGUCUUUUUGUUUUAUUUGGAGAAAGUGGUAUAAGGGAUCAUCUCAUCCCACUAUAUACACAAUUAAGUCUUUUUUCUUUGUUUUUGUUUUUGUCGAAUGUAAUAUAUUGGUCAAUGCACUUAAUAAUUUUUUCUAUUGACAUCAUCGUACUAUCAAUCAACUUCUCUUUUUUAAUGACUUCUGUAAUCCACUUUUAUUAACAUUUUUAUGUUAUAUAUAAAUUCUUUUUCAACAUUUCACUAAAAAUCGUAUCUAAUACAUAGUUCAAAUUACACUAAAAAGAUCUAAAAUGUAGGUCAUAAUCGUUAAUCAUUAGAAAAAAUAUUUUUUUUAGAUACAAUAAAUUACUGAAAUGAAUUUUGAAUUCAAGAUAGAAAUUUCUGGAUAAUUGUAUUAGCUUUUAAACAUGAGAUAAUUAAAUUAGAUAUAGAGUUAAAUAUAAUUUUGGAUAUCAUGUUUACACUAAAAUACCUUAAAAAUUUGGAUAUAAUUCUUAUAUUUUUUUAUUGUUCACAUUUUAUAAUUCAAUUAAGAGAAACUAUUUUUUAUUAUAAAAAAUUGAAUUAUUGAGACUUAGUAACUUAUUUUAUUUCACUUUCUUUGUGGACUAUACAAUUAAUUGCUCUGCAAUAUGAUCUGACUUUAUGAAUACUUGAUGACUGUAACAUAUUUCAUUCCUUUACUUCUUUAUGAUUCCAAAUCUUUAGAGUGAUAGUUCUAUGUUUGAUUUGUAACACCCUCAUUUACAAGCCUGAUUUUCUAGACAUAGGAGUUGUUAUCUGCGAGUGUUAUCCAGCGAAUAAAUAUAAUAGUUUGGUUUAUUCUUGUGUUCUAUGAUGUGGUUCAAAGGUUGGAGAAAAAUCCCAAGAAUUAUUUAAGAAAGAUGACCAAAUUCAUUUACUUGAAUUGUAGAUUAAUUUAUUUUUAGAAUAAAGAGUCACUUUUAACUAGGAUUUUAAAUUUAGUAAAAGAAUUACAUUUCAUUUACUAAAUUUUAUAUUAUAUUUUGUAUGAUUAAAUCAAGUUCAAAAACAUUUAAAGUACACAAUUAAAUUUAUUUGACCUAAUCCUUAAAUAAACAUCGACUUAACAUCAAAAUAUUGGUAUUACUCAAAUUGUAACACUAUUAAAAAAGUCGACUUAAUCGACCAUAAUACAAACCAAAAUGUUAGAAAUUGAUUAUAAACUACAAUCAAAUAAAAUAUGCAUCCAACGAUUUUUCAAUUUGGUUUUAAGUAUUUCAAUGUUUAUUCAUCUACUAUUCAAACAAAGUUUACCAAUAAUUCAAUUAUAUAUUGGAUCAAAGUUAUAAAAAUCUUUAAAUUACUAGACUUUCGCUUGAUAUUUUUGGUAUUUUUCUCAUUAAAAAUGGAAUAAUAGAGGAAUCAAAAUAAAAGACAAAUGGAAAGAAUGAUAGAUGAAGAAAUUACUGAAGACAAAGGAUUUACAUAAAAGUAAAUUACAGGAAAAAGUAAAUUAUUAAGAAUAAAACAAGAAUUAGUAAAGUAAAUCAAUCAAAAGUUCACGAAUUUCUUAGUAUGUUUGAAAUUUUAUUCACACUUUUCACUCUUUGUUUACAUUGAUCUAUUUAUUUAUAUUUUUUUUCAUAUUCUAACAAUUUCUUAAUGCAAUAAAAUAAAAUAAAAAAUACAUAAAUAAUCGACCUUGUGUCAUAUGUUCUUGUUGCCUUCAUGUUUUGUAGCAAUUGUUGUGUCCUUCUCCAAUUAGCUUUAGUCUAUAUUUUGAUUAUUCUUUCUUCAUGCACUAGUGGAAAAACGCUGUUUAACGUCGGUUAUUUUGGACUUUUAACGUCUUCUUCACAACCGACGUUAAUACCGGUGAUGUUAAUGGGACGUCGAACAUCCAUAUAACCAACGUCUAUACAGACGUCAGUUAUUGCCAUGUCCGACGUCACUAAACGUCAGUGUAGGCGUAAUCCAACGGCUAAAGGCAAUAUAUAGACGUCAGAUCAAGCAAUAACUGACGUCUAAGAGCACAUAAAGACUUCAAACAUGUAACUAAUCGACGUCUAAUGUCACUAUAAACGUCGGUGUAUGCAUUAACCGACGUCUAAUAUAGUCGUUGUGUUUUAGUGCAGUUUUGUUCCUGUCCUUGGAUAGCCCAGUAGCACACACUUUAUUUGCUAGUUUCCCCCGAAAAAAAGCUUGCAUCUUUUGAAUUUCUCAUGACAUUUUAACCCAAAACCUGGGUCUUUGCUUAGUUCUAUUUUUAAUCGCAAGAGGGAAAAGUUACGGUGAAAAGAUAACAAGGCAACAACCCAUGGUCAUUUUUGGGUCGAAACGCCAUGAGAAAUCCAAAAGAUGCCGCUUUUUCUGGGAGGCAACUAGCAAAGGAAGAAUGUGGUACUACGUUACCCUAAGAGAGGAACAAAACUGCACCAAAACACAACACAAGGAAAACAAAUUUUAAUCAGUUGAACCAGAAGAUAGUCGAUGAAAGACUGAACAAAGUUUAAACGGUAACCAUAAAAAAACAUGCACCUGGGAUGCAAUGCCGCAAGAGAGAAAAAGGAGAGGAGGAAGACGAUGAUAUCAAAAACUGCAAUGCCGCGAAGAGUCUAUAGUCACCUAGACGUCGGUUAUCUAACUAAUUCGACGUCCAAAAUAACAUUUAAACUGACAUUUUGAAUGCCCAUUAGACGUCGGACUCCAGGGGAGCCGAUGUCUAGGGCGCUGAACCGAUUGACGUUUCAUUUCCUGUCAGGGAAGUAGACGAUAGUUGUGAAGGGGCGCCGACGUCUAUAAUAAUAUAGACGUCGGGGCUCUGCUAUCAGAUGUCGAAGUGCCUCUGAGUUUGGUGAACAGAAUUAAUUACAGGCACAUAGACGUCGCACACCAAAAAUUACGACGUCUAUACUUCAGAAAUUUUUGUCUUCCCGCCUUCCGAGCAGGCCAUAGACGACUGUUUUUUACUACUUGACGUCUAAGCGCCUGGGAAUCAAGUGAAGAGCAUUAAUUGCAGUCAGGUAGACGUCGGCCCCCCAUCACAACUGAUGUCAAUGGUGCAGGAAAAGACUGUCUUCUAGCCUACCUCAUUACAUUGAACGUCGGUUUAGGGCAGAACAGACGUGUACUAUAUAAUAGACGUCGUUUUUCCUUGAAACCGACAUCUAAGUUACCAACUUAUUUACGUUAAUGCCACCGUCCACUCGUCUAGAUGCACUGUUUGUGUGCCUCUUUAAGUAAAAUCUUGUUGUGUUUAGCCCUCUACUAGCUUUUAUGUAUUGUAGUGAAAAAACAUAUUGGGAACCACAUCAAAUUCAUUAUUAGAGGAUCACAGGGUUAGACUUUGUUUACAUUUCAAUUUAAGUUUUGUAAUAUUUAUAUAAACAAUAUUUUUAUGAUUUUAUUUAUUUGAAAUUAUAUAAUUUUAUAAACUUAUUUAAAGUAAUAUAUUAUUUAUAUAAUUUUUUUAUCUGAAAUGAACUCUUACUAAUUUACUAUUCGAAUUUAUGAAUUGAGUUUACGAUACUAUCAUGAGGUUGCAUAAAAUCUCAAGUUUUACAACCUUGUGUAAAAUAAUUACGUUAAGUGAAGUGGGGGAGAGAGGUCAGAGUUGCCUUGAAGUUUAGCAUGUUCAUACGCGGACAGUUAAUUGAUAAUCAUUUUUCUCUUUUUGUAGAACUUUACGUACGUUAUCGUUUUACACAUUGUGAAGACCAAUAUUUUCUUUUUGACAAAAUGUGAUGAUUGGAUUUGUUUCAAACUCUUUUUGGUGUUAAAGUGACUUUUUGACAAUGUGUUAUCGUGUUACACAUUGUGAAGACCAAUAUAUGACUUUUCUUCCAACAAAGUUAUGCAUUAGUGACAGAGAUUACACUUUAUAAAAUUUUAAGCAUUACACCACUUUCCCUUAAUCAAUUUUAUGGUUAAGUCUUUUCACCAACUCACCAUUACACUAUAAUCAUAUCAUAUAAAUCAAAGCCAUCCUGAAAUAUAAAUACACAACACAACCUUCAAAUAUCUUACUUUAAUGCUAAACAUAUUUAUAUUAGUUUGAGAUAUAUUAUAAAAGUAAAAUAAUAAAGAAAGAAAAGUAAAAUUUAAAUUUAUCAAAUAAAAACAAAAUAAAAUUAAUGAAAUUAUAAAAAAUUUAAAGCAUUACACCACUUUCCCUUCAACAAUUUUAUGGUCAAGUCUUAAGAUAGUUUUUUUUUUUUAUAAUUUUUAUGGAUAAUUUAAAUAUAAAAAGUUAAUUACAUGAUAAUUUUUUUUAUAAAAUAGUAUUUAAAUAUUCAAAUAUAACACGAAAAUAAUAACUAAUGAAAACAGAAAAGAAUAAGAAUAAAAAUGGCAAACAAUUUCGUUUAUAUUUAAUCGAACUUAAGCAAAUGUAAAAGAACAUAAAUUUAAAAUUGCAAAAAACCAAACAGAAAUAAUAAUUUUUUAACUUUGGAAAUAUUUUGUAAUUUUUGUAUUUUAUAGUUUGAUUUGUUUUAAGCAUAUAAUUCUUUUGUUAAAUAUGAAUUCAAAAGAAUGCUUGCUGUAUGUAGUCCAUUUCAGUUUCGUCAUUCAUCUAUCAUCACAUUUUCUUUGUGUGAUAAUAACACUUACUACAACAACCUUAAUGACAAUCCCAUUAGUUUUAGACUUAUUGAUGAUUGAUAUUGGUUAAAAUUCGUAAAAUAAUAGAAAAUGAUUAUUUUUUUAUGAAUUAUUGAUGGAUUAAAUUAUGUCGAUAAAAGUAAUAUUAAUUGAUAAAUAUCGUUUAUUUAUAGUUACUAACGGACAAUAUUUAUUGGUAAAUAUAGAAAGAUGUAUCUGUCAGUGAUUAUUAAGAAUAUAUGAGUUAGUAAUUUCAUAUCCAACUAAUAGAGGUCUUAAAAUAUAGUGUAGUUGUCUCCAUGGUUUUUCUAUCCCCUUCCCUUUAUUGAAACGAAAUGGAUGUCUAAAUGACAGUACUGCAAUGAAACUAUAUAAUAUAAAGCUAAACAUUACAAAUGAUUAAGUCACACAUAUUUUGAAAUAAAAUUAAAGAAACAUGUGUAUUUAUAAUGAUAGAUUUUUGUCACAAGAUAUGAAUAUCCUAUUUAGAACUAACAAGGUGAAUAUGAAGUUUAUCCAUACAAAUUUCUACUUCCUACCACUAACUUUGUAUUUAAAUUUAAAGUUUGGCAAAACAUGAGAGAUCUUCUAAUUCAAUCAUUGUCAUCAUCGUCCUCUACAAUUGUCAUUGUCAUCAUUAUUAACAUCAUUCUCACCUUCUUCUUCUUCAUCAUCAUCAUCUUUUUCUUUUUGUAUUUCUCUUUCCAAUUCUUCAAUAUCACCAUGAUAUUGUUCGUUUUGGACUAAAUCCUCAUGGGUUUGCUUUUGGUACCACUUCAAAAGGUCUCUUACAAUUGGAGCUAUUUAUGUAUAUAUAAACCCAUGACCAGUUCUUCUUUUACUUGAUGUGAGACUUUGUUUACAUCCCAACAUAAUGUUUUCCCUUCUUACCGUGAAAUCAUGAUUUUUUUUUAUCUAUCAUUAGUUUUUUUUUAAUUAACUUGGCAUUAUUAUUCUUAUUAAUUUAAAAUUUUAAGUAUAUCAACUAUAUUUUUUAAUGAAUAACAAUGAGGUUUUUUUAUUUUUAUUUUAAUGUACGUAUUUCAGAGAAGUAACAUUCUAUUUUAACUCAUCAUUUUCAUGAGUGUCUCAUUUUCAAUUUAAAAAAAUCACUUUAUAGAAAUAUAUAUAUAUAUAUAUAUAUAUAUAUAUAUAUAUAUAUAUAUAUAUUUGAUAAANNNNNNNNNNNNNNNNNNNNNNNNNNNNNNNNNNNNNNNNNNNNNNNNNNNNNNNNNNNNNNNNNNNNNNNNNNNNNNNNNNNNNNNNNNNNNNNNNNNNNNNNNNNNNNNNNNNNNNNNNNNNNNNNNNNNNNNNNNNNNNNNNNNNNNNNNNNNNNNNNNNNNNNNNNNNNNNNNNNNNNNNNNNNNNNNNNNNNNNNNNNNNNNNNNNNNNNNNNNNNNNNNNNNNNNNNNNNNNNNNNNNNNNNNNNNNNNNNNNNNNNNNNNNNNNNNNNNNNNNNNNNNNNNNNNNNNNNNNNNNNNNNNNNNNNNNNNNNNNNNNNNNNNNNNNNNNNNNNNNNNNNNNNNNNNNNNNNNNNNNNNNNNNNNNNNNNNNNNNNNNNNNNNNNNNNNNNNNNNNNNNNNNNNNNNNNNNNNNNNNNNNNNNNNNNNNNNNNNNNNAUAUAUAUAUAUAUAUAUAUAUAUAUAUAUAUAUAUAUAUUUUAUUACACUUUCUUUACAAAAAUGCAAUACGUUUUGGAUAGAAAAAGAAAAAAAAAAUUGUAAACAUAUUGAUAUUCGAUUUACAAUUAUUAUAAAGAUAAAAUAAUGAUAAAAAGUAAACCUUUAAAUUUAUAAAAUAAAAAGAAAAAGGAUAAAAGUAAUGAAAACCAGUAUCGUUAAAAAAUGGAAUAGAGUUUAGUGCAUAUGUGAUUUAAGGAAAAAUUACUAAAAAGGUCAUGCAAUCAUACAACUCUUUUGUUAUAUAUGUGUGGUUAUGGAAAGUGCUUUAACUCAACAACAGCAAUCUAGUUUUGAUACUCAAAGAAUUAUAUCCAUUAGUUUUUGUGUGUGAUGAUAGCACCCACAACAACCUCAAUGAAGAAUCCAGUUGGUUUUUUAAGAUUGAUGAUGAUGUUUGUGUUGUGUGUGGUGUCGGAGGUUAUUAAUGGUGAAGAGGAGAUUAGAUGCAUUCCAGAGGAGAGGGAAGCACUCCUCCAAUUCAAGGCUGCCAUUGUCGAUCACAACGGCAUGCUCUCAUCUUGGACCACUCCUAACUACUGCCAAUGGGAGGGGAUUCGCUGCAGCAACCUCACCUCCCAUAUUAUAAGCCUCGACCUUCAUGGAGAUGGAGAUGAACGUUAUAUGAGCGGAGAGAUCCACAAGUCGUUGAUGGAGUUGUCACAAUUACAGUAUUUGAACCUCAGUCAUAAUUAUUUUCCAGACACUCACAUCCCAGAGUUUCUUGCUUCUCUCAAAAACUUGAAAUACCUUGAUCUUUCAUCAUCUCAGUUUGAAGGAAAAAUUCCAACACAACUUGGAUCUCUUUCUCAUUUGAAAUACUUAAAUCUCGCAGAUAAUUAUUUGGAGGGUGCAAUCCCUUAUCAGUUUGGAAAUCUCUCCCAAUUGCAACAUCUUGAACUCAGUGACAAUCUUUUAGAAGGAAAUAUACCAUCUCAACUUGGAAAUCUCUCCCAAUUGCAUCAGCUCUAUCUUCAACAUUUGUAUAAUCUCAAAAUUAGUGACGGAGGUCAGUGGCUCUCAAAUCUUAUUUCUUUAACCCAUCUUUACUUGGAUUCUCUAUCAAAUCUUAAUCAUUCUCAUAUUUGGUCGCAAGUGAUUGCGAAGCUACCUCAACUAAGAGAACUAAGUUUAGUUGAUUGUAGCCUUUCCGAUCAUUUCAUUCUGUCAUCCAAACAUUCUAAGUUCAAUUUCUCUACUUCCCUCUCUGUCUUUGAUCUUUCUGGGAACACCUUCACAUCAGCAGUGAUAUUCCAAUGGGUGUCAAACAUUACUUCCAACCUUGUUCACCUUGACCUUAGUGAUAACAAUUUGACUGAAGACCUUCCCUCCAUUCUCGGUAAUUUGUCCAGAGGAUGCGUUAGACACUCAUUGCAAGAAUUGGAUUUGAGUGCUAAUUACAUCACUGGAACUUUGUCUGACAUUUCAGUAUUCUCCUCUUUGAAAUCAUUGUUUCUUGGUGCAAAUGAGUUAAGUGGAAGGAUACCUGAAGGUGUGAAGUUACCAUCCACUUUGGAGGAUUUGUUAGUUUGGUCAAAUUCAUUAGAAGGUGGAAUUCCAAAAUCAUUUGGCAAUGCAUGUUUUUUGUUAUCAUUGGACAUCUCUAAUAAUAGCUUGAGUGAUGAGCUUCCAAUGAUAAUUUCUCACUUGUCUGGAUGUGCUAGAUAUUCAUUGCAAGUAUUAUAUCUACAUGAUAAUCAAAUCAAUGGCACACUACCUGACUUCUCAACAUUCACAUCUUUAGGAAAAUUAUAUCUUCACAACAAUAAGCUAAAUGGAGAGAUUCAUAAAGACAUUCAAUUUCCACCUAAAUUGGAGGACCUCUACAUCUAUUCAAACUCUUUAAAGGGUGUGCUGACUGACUACCACUUUGCUAAUAUGUCUAUGUUACAGAAUUUGGAUUUAUCUGACAACUCAUUGGGUUUGGCAUUUACUCAAAACUGGGUUCCACAUUUUCAACUGCUAUUUAUAAACUUGAGAUCUUGUCAGCUAGGUCCAACAUUUCCCAUGUGGUUGCAGACACAAAAUAAAUUUGUCGAUAUUGACAUUUCAAAUGCUACAAUAUCAGGUAUUAUUCCUGAAUGGUUUUGGGCUAAAUUAUCUCUACAAAGAGUGAUGACAAUGAAUAUUUCGUACAACAGUCUACAAGGUACAAUUCCAAAUGUUUCAACAACGUAUGUUUCUACUUCCAUGCACCUUGGAUCAAAUCAAUUUGAAGGUUCUAUUCCUCUAUUUUUACAGAAUUCUCAAAUUCUUGAUUUAUCAAAAAAUAAAUUCUCAAAUCCUCUUUCAUUUUUGUGUGAAGAUAAUGAAUUUUCAGUUCAAACUCAUUUAGACAUUUCACAUAAUCAGUUAUCCGGAAAUAUCCCAGAUUGUUGGAAACAAAUUAAUUCACUAUUUUAUUUAGAUUUAAGCCACAAUAACUUUUCAGGAAAAAUUCCAACUUCAAUGGGAUGGCUUCUUGAUCUUCAAGUAUUAUUGUUGAGAAACAAUAAUUUAGUAGAAGGUAUCCCUUUCUCCAUAAGAAAUUGCACAGAACUAGUACUGCUUGAUUUGUCAGAAAACAAAUUAUCUGGACCUAUCCCUGAUUGGAUUGGGACAAAAAAAAAGUUGCAAAUAUUAAAUCUGGGAAACAAUCAAUUCUUUGGGAGUUUACCGUUAAUGGUUUGUUGUCUAAGAAAACUUCAUCUUUUGGAUCUUUCACUAAACAACUUAUCUGGAAAAAUUCCUAAAUGCAUAAACAACCUUACUUCAAUGGCUCAAACGACAACUUCAAUAUCUGAUGGAUGGCAAUACUAUGUGUUAAAUAUUGGUCUUUCUAGUUACAUCAGAGUAUACUAUUUGAAUAGAGUAUACCAUUUGAAUGCAUGGUUGACAUGGAAAGGUUCAAAACAAAUGUUUAUGGAUGAAGGUUUGUCACUUUUAAAAGUCAUUGAUCUCUCAAGCAAUCAUUUCUCAGAAGAAAUUCCUACAGAAAUAGAGAAAUUAGCUGGACUGAUUUCGUUGAACUUAUCAAGAAACAAUUUGAUUGGAAAAAUUCCUUCAAACAUUGGAAAUAUGACAUCACUUGAAUCUCUUGAUUUAUCAAGAAACCGACUUGUUGGUUCAAUUCCUCUAAGUCUUGCUCAAAUUUAUGGACUUGGUGUGCUAGAUUUGUCUCAAAACCAUCUUAGUGGAAAAAUUCCUACAAGCACACAAUUACAAAGUUUCCAUCAAUCUAGUUAUGAAGAUAAUCUUGAUCUUUGUGGACCACCACUUGAAAAAUUGUGUAUUGAUGGGAAGCCAACACAAAAUCCAAAUGCUAAUGUUUAUAAAGAUGAAUAUCCAUUUUUCAAUAAUGAGUUUUUCAUAAGUAUGGGAAUUGGAUUUGCUCUAAGUUUUUGGACGGUGAUUGGCUCAAUCUUAUUCAAACGUUCUUGGCAGCGGUCUUAUUUCAACUUCUUGAACAACUUAGAAGACAAUGUUCAUGUCAAAAUAGCAAUCUUUGUUAGAGUAAUUAACCGGGACAAAGAUUAACAGGUAACAAUAUUAUAUGUUUUAUAUAACUUUGCUUUCUCUAUAUUGUAUUAAAUGCAAAUUAACAUAUAUUUCUUUUUCAAUAUUUCUAUAGCAUUUUAUUGAUUAAAAUAAAAUUAUCAAAUUAUUAUUAUGUUUAAUAUGGAACCAAUUUUUACAAUUCAAUUAAUUGCUUUUGAAACUAAUUACGUCAAAGACAUAAGAUUUAAUGCAUAAGAGCAAUUAAAUGUGUAAAUAUAGCAAGUUAAGUAAUCAAGAAAAUGACUUCUUGCUCGUUUUAAUGAUGAGUGCCUUUAGUGUUUAUUUACUUCAGUUUUUUUUUAAAUAAAAUUAUGCCCUUGACAACCUUUUGCAAAUUUAGAUGAAAAGUUUGCAUGAGCAUAAAAUAAAAUGGUAACAAAAUAAUUGAUGUUCAAUACUUGAUAGUCUUAUGAAAAAAAGAAAAAACAAUUGUUUCCCUUGCUACCAUGAAAUCAUGUUUUUUUCCCUAGUAAACUUCUGAAUUCUUUAUCUAUCAUUAGUUUUUUUAACCUGAUUAUUAUUAUUCUUAUUACUUAAAAAUUUUAAACAUGGCAUUUCAAUGAACACAUUUGGAAGAACUAACAUUCUUUGCAUUUUUAUUAUUUUUCAAUUUUCAGGCACUUGAAACCCAUCCUCUUGCACGACUCCACCUUUGAGCUUCUUAUGCUUGGUCAAUGCAAUGGUUUCACUAAAUUAUAAACGUCAUUAAGCAUUGUGCUGGUUGUUAGAAAAGAAGAAAGAAUGAAAUAUUGUAUUUCUUAUUGAAUAAUAUGGAGAGAGUACAAUUGAUAUAUAUAAUUAUUUAGAGCAAUAUAAAAAAAGAAUAUAAGUAUAAAAAUAUAUGAACAUAAAUGCACAGAUAUGAACAGAGAAUAAAAUAAUUCCAAUACUGGUACAUAUUAUUAACAAUUCACUCUUUUUUUUUUCUCAUAAUCCAAACUUCCGUCUAAACUAUUUUUCAGUUAAUUACAUUUCAUUUAUUUGUGUCAGGAAAGUUUCGUCAUUUUAAUGAGUGACUUGUUUUCUAAUUUUAAAAAUUCUAUAAAUUACUUUAUAGUAAAAUUUUAUAUAUAUAUAUAUAUAUAUAUAUAUAUAUAUAUAUAUAUAUAUAUAUAUAUAUAGAGCAGUGUGAUUAUUACCAUUUUAAACUUAUUUAUAGUGUGUAAAUAUUUGCUAUGUACAUAUAGUUGAUAAAAAAACUAAAUAAUCAUUUCAAAUUCAGUACAGCUUAAAUAUUAAAAAUAAAAUAAGGAAAUGAAAAUAUAGAAUAAGUUCAGAGGUUAAAACUGAAAGGAAAGUAGAGAAAUAUAUUGGAAGGAUGUGAUUGUAUGUCAAACAAACAUAGCAUAAAAAAAAUAGAAUAAUGAUAAAUUUUAUCUAAUCUGGAAUGUUUUAAAACCAAGAAAAUAUUAACUUUGUGAUCCCUUCCUAUCCUAAGAAUAUUGUUUAAAGAGCAAAAGUAGAAUGUUUUGAAAUUAAAGAGGUUGAUGAUAGAAUAGAAGGCAGGGUUUCUAACUUACUCUUGACAUGACUCCUUAUCAUCAUUUUGAGGUGAGAUUAUGUAAAAUUUUGAAAAGCUAAUACUCUGGCUAUGCCUUUUAAUAUACCUGUGCUUAUCGAAGAGCAAACAGAAUUCCUGAAAUUUCAGUUUGGAAACUUUUUUAAUUAUGCAUAGUAUACUUCACUUUAUUUAUGUAGACAUGUUCCAGAGUGAUGUAAUCCAGAUAAAUAAAUCAAAUAUUAAUUAAUUGAAACAUGCAGUACAUAAUUAAUUAAUUUGGUUGUUAUACGAGCAAAGCAUUCUUAAUUUGUUUCUUAUGUGUAACACAUUCUUAAUUUUAUCCUUGCUGGUAGAAAAUAGAUUAAGAAUUCGUUAAAUGUAAUGAGACCGAAUAAAGAAUGGAUUACUUGUAUAAGAGCUAAAUUAGAAUGUAUAACUAAUUAUUCGUACAUAGUAUAUUCAUCCUUUGCAAUCAAGUUUUAUGAGGUACUAGACGAUAUUAAACAAGAAUUAUAUCUUUAUUUCAAAAAUUUCUCCAAAUCAUCGUUUAUUAUUCAAUUAUUGAAUAUCAAAUGUUUAUUUGGUUUGAAUACAAUGAUGUCAUAGUUUAUUAAAAAAAACAAAAGGAUGUUGACCACACUUUAUAUUUUAUAUGUUAAUUUAAUUUGAAGGGGAUAUUUUUUUUAUUAAUGUCAUAACAUAAAAUUGAUAGUUAAUUUAGCAUAACAAAAUUGAAAUUAUAAAAUGGUAUAAUGGGAGUAGAGUAUUCCUAUAAAUGAGGAGACUUGAGUUGAAUUCUAAUGUAAAACAAUUUUUUUAUUUUUUUAACAAUUACUAACAAUAAUAGGAAUAAUAAUAUAAUAAUUCAUAACUAUAUACAAAGAGGAUACAUCUCUUUGGUGUCUUUUUUUUUUUAUUUUUCCAAUUUUACCAUCUUAAUUACUAUUUUGAAAAUUUAAAUAAUUAUUCAUAAUCUAUAACUAUAUAUAAAGAUGAUCGAACUCUUUUGUGUUUCUAAUUUUCUCCUUUUAAUUAUUACUUUCAAAUUUUAAAAAAUUAUACAUAAUAAAAAAAUGGCUUAAUACCCCUGAUUGUCCCUAUUUUCGUUAAGUGCGUUCACUUUAGUCUCUAUGUUUUUUUUUUUGUUCAAUGUUGUCCUAAAGAGUGUAAAUUUUGUUUAAUUUGGUCCUUUAAUGCCGUUUAAAUUGUUACCUGUAGACAGUCUAGGUGUGCACAACAGUGUUGAGAUGGCAUUUAACUACUACCAUGUAACCAAAAGUAAAGUUUCGUGGCAGCCCCACCCCAAAAUUAGGGUUCUACAUUUGGGGGAAACCUUCCUGCACCUACGCCACGAGAAGAAGGAAAAUGUUGCUCGCUUUGCUUCAACGGAGGAUGAUUUCACUAAUUGUACAGCUCAUGGUAGCAUGAAGAAGACGAACCUAGUUGUGUAAGAAAGUACUCAUGGUGGCUGGUGGAGGCAAGCAACGAAACGAUUCUAGGUUUCUUUGAUUUGGGAUUUUUCUGGAUUUCGUUGUGGUUCUCUGGAGGUUGGAGAAGAUGAUGGCCUUGAAGCUUUGCACAACGGCGACAAGGAUUGUCGCGCUGACGAUGAAGCUCUCGAUUUGGAUGAUUCAUGGCUGAUGUGCGAGAAUGAAGAUACGAAUGGAGUUCGAGAUUAAGGUUUCGUGAUUUGAGGGAGAUUGCGACUUUGAUGGUGGUGGCCAUGGAGGUUGCACGUGAUGGCUGCCAUGGUUCUCUGCAGGUGCGACUUCACGGCGGCAUGGUGACUUUGGACGAUCUCUAUGGUGGCGGUGGCGUUAGGGUUCAGUGGCGGUAGGGUUCGGUGGGCUGAAGGUUGAAGAAGAUGGUGACGUGGCAGUAGUUAAAUGUCAUCUCAACACUGUUGUGCACAAGAAGAAGAAGAAGAAGAAGAAGAAGAAGAAGAAGAAGAAGAAGAAGAAGAAGAAGAAGAAGAAGAUUAUGAUGAUGAUGAUGAUGAUGAUGAUGAUGAUGAUGAAGAUUGAUUUAUACACAUAUAGUGUGCUUUAUAUUGUGGUUAAUUUGAAACACGAUGUAAUUUUGAUUUAAUUUUGAAAAAUGAUGGUUAUUCAUUUGUUGUGCCAUGACUACAUUAUUCAACUUGAUUUCAAUCAUAAUUCAUUUUAUUGCAGUAAUGACAGGAGAACGACAAUCAAAACCUGAUAAAGGAAAGGCUGUAGCAAAAACAAAGAAGAAACGAAAGGCAAAAUAUAUCCUUAAGAUUCCUUCAUCUAUUGCAGACCGUCAUGUUCAUUCCACACCCUCAGAUGCUGCAGACCGACAUGUUCUUUCGACACCCUCACAUGAUGCAGACUGUCAUGUUCUUUCCACACCACACCCUCCUAUUAAUCCCAUACAAACACCUGCUAUUUUAUCCACACCAGACCCUGUGGUACAGCCAACACAAGAUCCUACUAGUCUUCCUCCACCUGCAUUUCUUGGAACACAGAUAGAUUCUUCUUCUAUGCCCUCCUCAUCGUCCAUACCGUCGUCUCAUGGUUGUCCCACACCAUCUGUUGAUCACGAUUCGGCUGGUGAAGAUGAUGAUGACCCUGCUCCUNCUGAUCGACCGAUGAUUGAACCUUAUGGGAAAGGGUAACACCGGACCAAGUUCAUUACUAAAUUGUUUUACAUUAAUUGUUUAAGUUAUCGUUAAUUUAAAUGACUUUGAUGUAUUUAUAUGCAGAUUUGUGCCAUCUAGAGUUGCUUCUCAGGCCAUAACAAAGUGUAUUAAGCAACAAUUUCUACAGCCCUNGCCAACAUGGGGAGCAAUACUNCCUGAUGACAGAAAACCAUUUUGGGAGCGAUUUAAGGUUAAAGGAAAUCAACUUCCUUUUGUUAUUUAACAUUCAUCAUUAAGAUUAAUUGUGUACCAACACAAAUAGUAAUUUACAUAAUUUUUAUAUGACUUGUUGUCAUAGAUGAAGGUUCAAUGGUUACCUCAACAUGAAGUUCAAAGGCAUCUCAUAGGCUUUCUGAGAUGUUUCGAGAAGCAAGGAUAGCAGGAGAACGCCCGUACUGGAUUGGGGAGCAAAUCUGGACCUCUUUACUGGAGCAUUGGAAUUCGGCACAGUAUCGGGCAAAGUGUGCAAUCGCCCAGAAGAAUCGGUCUUCAGAAAGGGGCGGUGUUCUCCAUACAGGUGGAUCAAUCACCAUACAUGAACAUGCUAUGCGUAUGGUAAGUAUCCAUUUACUCGUACAAGUUAUGUAACUUUAAUUUUAAUCUACAUAACAAACUUUAUAUUUUGUUGCAGGCAGCUGAGUUGGGANGAUCUGUGCAUGUUGAUGAAGUUUUCCACCAAACUCAUGUACGCAAGGGAACUACUGACCAGUUCGUUGAUGAAAGGUCCCGAAAGACACAUGUAAGAAAAUACUUGUAAUCGUAGUCUUGAUUCAUAACUUUGUGCCUUCUAUUGUAUAUUUGACUCAUACUUUAUCAUCACUUUUAACAGGAAGAAUUCUCCGCAAAACUUUCACGAGCCAGAUCCUCACAUUCUUCAUGUCCUCAGUCAACCCAACCAACAGAUGAUGAAGAAGACCUUAUUAGGUCACAGUGUUGGAUUGAUGUUGUUGGUGGAAAGAAAAAAGGAAGAAUAUAUGGGACCGGGCAAUUGGCUGCAAAUUACAGUGCAGGUCGUGGUGGUCUAAAGCACCAACCUUCUUCUUCCUCCCAGCAUCCUGAAGAGACUGUCAAUGCCCUGACACAGCGGCUUCAAACACGUGAACGAGAAUAUAGUGAACUCAGACAAGAGUUUACCAAUUUUAAAGAACUGGUCAUGAGAUUGCUUCCUCAGUCUGCAGUGCCUUCGGCCUCUCAUUCGCAGCCCACACCAGUCCAGCCUACUGAAGCUCAACCCACACAUGUCCAGCCCAUACCAGUCCAGACCCCAUCAGUCCAGUCCUCAUCUGUCCAGCCACCAUCUGUCCAGCCACCAUCAGAGCCUCAAAACAAUGAACAACAAGACAAUCAUCCAGCUCAACAUUAUGACGACUAUUAGUUGACUUAUGGGAUAACUUUGCACAUUACUUACAUUAUUAAUUAUUACCUUUUUUCCUUCUAAGAACAAUUUUAUAUUUAGUAUGCGUAUGGUUAGUGGAGUUCUGUUUAGUGUAUCAAUUACAAAUUUUCAGACAUUAGAAAUUAUAUAUAUAUAUAUAUAUAUAUAUAUAUAUAUAUGUGUGUGUGUGUGUGAGUGUGUGUGUGUGUGUUUGGAUUUGCAUUGAUUGGAGUUGACUCCACUUGGUGAAUGUUGGAUUGUAUUUUGAGUUGGAUGUUGGACAUGAAUUGUGCAGGUUUAUUUUGGAUGUAUAAAUUUUGUAAUACUGUGCAGGUUACUGUUUUGAGUGGGAUUAUAUAAGAAUGAAACUGCCAAUAAAGACCACAUUACGAAGGAUAAAUCCUUCGGUAAUUACCCAAGUAGUGUCCUUCGGUAAUUACCGAAGGACAAAAUCCGCCGGUAAUGGUUUCCGACAAAAGGUUUUUCCGACGGAAUUUAGACCGGCGGAAUAUACGAUUUAGCGACGGACUUUGGCCUUCGGUAAUACCAUCAAUUGUUGUAGUGUCCGAUAACGGCCGACAAUUUGUGGAGAGAAAGCUAGAGGAUUUCCUCAAAGGUCUAGGCAUUAAACAUGUCACGAGUUUAGUCGAACACCCGCAAACGAACGGCCAGGCUGAAGCAGCCAACAAAGCCAUUAUUUCAGAACUGAAGAAGAGGCUUGGGCGCGCUAAAGGGUUGUGGGUCGAGGAGUUGCCUGAAGUACUUUGGGCAUAUAGAUGCACGCCGCACGGCUCGACAGGCGAGACUCCCUUCAACCUCACUUACGGCAUAGAUGCCAUGCUUCCAGUCGAGGUGGGCGAACCAACUAUACGAAGAGAGAUGCAGGACAUGAACCUCAAUGAGGAUCAGCUAAGAGUUAACCUGGACACUUUACCCGAACGACGUGAAGUGGCCAUGAUAAGAAACGCGGCUCAGAAACGAUUACUCGUACGUCAUUUCAACACGAAGAUCAAACCACGUAGCUUUACAACAGGAGACCUUGUUUGGCGAAAGAGAGGGGAAGCUCGUAAAGAAAAAACGUACGGCAAGCUAUCAGACAACUGGGAAGGACCUUUUCGCGUCGUAGAAGACUUGGAAAACGGGGCAUAUAGGUUGGAGCAUUUGGAUGGAAAAGCCAUUCCUAACACAUGGAACGCCACACAUUUAAAGUUCUACUAUAGUUAGAAUUUCAGCUUUACUGCAUUUCAGAUUUACUGCAUUUGCUAUUUGUUUCAAAACAAUUGAUUAUUAUCAACUUUAUUUCAAUGAAACCAUCCAGUUAAUCAUCCAUUCAGCUAUUUAUUCCUGAUUAAAUAUCUGCAAGGACUAAACGUCCACAACUUUAAAGGCAGCACUUGCCUUCCAGACUAAACGUCUGAACGUACGGACUAAACGUCUGAAAACCUAAAGGCAACACUUGCCUUCCAGACUAAACGUCUGAAUGUAUGGACUAAACGUCUGAAAACCUAAGGGCAACACUUGCCUUCCAGACUAAACGUCUGAACGUACGGACUAAAUGUCUGAAAACCUAAGGGCAGCACUUGCCUUCCGAGCUAAACGACCGGUAGAUUCAAAACACUCAAGGACAGCACCUGCCAUACAAACUAAAUAACCAGCCGAACUGAACGACCAAACUCUCAAAAACUGUGCUUGCUUUACAAAUUAAUACAUGGGCUACUCAUAAUGGACGCCCGAAUAUCGUUACGGAACGCCGAAACCAAGCACUUCUGCACAUACAAGUAAGUUUAUACUAACCUACUUACUCAUGUAUCUACUAUGUUGCCUUAUCUUAAGGUGAAUUUUCACUAAGAAAAUUCAACGCUUUGGCACAUAUUAGUAAGUUUACCUUAUAUUAAGGUAGAUUUUCACUAAAGCAAAUUCUAAGUGAAAAGACUCCCCCGCUAUGUUUGAAAAGGCAAAUUGGCAAAAAGUAUAACACCCCUCAUGAAAGAGGGUUCGACGUAUGAAUUCAGACCUAAAGGUCUUUUCGUCACACAACACACAAGUAAUUAAUUUUAGUGAAUAUAAUCACUAUUAAAUCCUUCAAAUAAAAGCAACAUAAAGAGCCAAGGCCGACAGCCUUAAAGUCAUGCACAACGACAAAGAGGCGAAAAAUAGAUUGUUCAGAGGACAUCAAAAUAGAAAUGAAAAAAUUAACAAGGGAUUAAGGCCUUAAGCCUUUCCAGCAACAGCUUCUUUAGAGGCGGUUGUAUCAACAGUAGGUACCUCGGUUACAUCCUUAGGAUCAUCCGUCGGAGCCUCAGACUGUUCAGGCGAGUCUGCCUCGUCAUCUUCAUUAUCGGAGUAAGUGCCGGCGAGGACUUCUUUAGAAGGAUUAAGGUUUCCUUUGAGGACAUCCUGAUCCACGUUGAAAGGUAACUCGCUCAUGGGGCGUUCCAAAAAGUGGGAAGCCUAUCGUAUGGCCUUCUUGAAACCAUGGGUGUGUUCCAGGAUAAUUGCCUUGGCCAUCUGCUUUUCUUGGGCUUUGAAGGCCAUUAACGAGCUCUUCAAUGCGUUCCUUUCAACCACCAGCUCAUCAUUUGCCUUCUGGGCGGACGAUAAGUCAUGGGCCUGCUGCUCGUGUUCUUUCUGAAGAGUCUUCAGAGAUUCCUGCAGCCCCUCAAAGAUGAUGCGGCCCUCGUUAAUGGUAUGCAGAGCCGCAUGAUAUUUAGGUCCACAUUCAGAAUGGAUGAGAGUGAGAUCCAUCACUUGUUUUUGCAAGCUUUCAAGGUCUGCCUUCUCCUUGUCAGCUGUGUGCAUCAAUUGCCAAGCGGACGCAGCUGCACGGGCACUAAAUUCCAAGCAAUUAUGAGUCAAUCGUUGGCGGGAGGUGGCCUCCAAAACCUUCUUCUCAGCCGGAUCGAACUUGAAGUCCAACUUAUAACCCAGGUCGAAACCAGCGUCCCAUAUGCCUUUCGGCAAAUCGCGGUCGGCCUCGGGGUGCAGUGGCUCUUCAGUCGCUUGCCCUUUCUCGGCACCUUUGCCUUUCUUGCCAAUCGGUGUAGCCUUCACAAUGGGGGCUGCUUUCCUUUUCCUUUUCAUGGCCAAUUCUUGACUAGGGUUUUCCUCGUCAAGAUUGACUAUAGCAAGAAUGUUGGUGAGAGUGGCCCUGGUACCUCCAGACGAACCUUCCUCUUGGAUCAGUUCUUUGGAGCAGUUGAACCAGUCAAUGCUGACCUUUUUCUUACCCAUGAUAGCUGCAAUGGAAAAGACGUCAAUAAGUAAGUUCAUCAAAUAUUUAGCUUUUAGUGAAGGAACAUACCAGAGAUUUUCGAAUUUAAGUCGUCGCAUGCUAGACAGCUGAUUAUCUGCCUCGAAGAGAAGGGGCGAAGAGAUAGACCCUCCAGUGCACUGAUGGCCUCUAACUCAUAGGCCGAUAAUAACUCCUUAUCCCAAGAAGUCAUUGACCGGGGGUGUUUUGUCCAAUACAAGGGAAACCUCUCACUACCAUCUUGAUUAAGAAAAAACGAACGGCCUAAAUCGGUAAUAAUUACUCUAAAGUAGUGUUUUUUAAAAUCUUUGUACGAGUCGGCGUACAACUUAAACAGGGUAUUCUUGGGGUCGGAAAUAAGUGAAACCCAACCCCUCUUUGGGACCGGACGGGUCCUGAAGAAAUACAGAAACAUGGGAGUGGUCGGUUUUAUGCCCAAAUACUGGCAAACCACAUAAAAAGACUGGAUGUAACCCCAGCUAUUUGGAUGUAGUUGCGUAGGCGCAACAUUCAAAUUUCUUAACACAUCUAUAUGAAAAUCAGAGAAUGGGAGUCUAAGGUACAUAUCAACAAAUAAGCAUGAAUACAUGUAAAAGAAAUGUCUUUCUGAACUAUGUUUAUGGUAGAAAACCUUUUCGUCUUCCCGACAUGGGGCUAGUCGUAUAGAGCGACCAUAACCUAGACUUCUGAGGACACAACUAUUUUCUAUCCAAAAUUCUAAAGAUAAUUUAUCGGUGAAGGAACUGGAGAUAUCAUUGACAUCUUGUGAUGCCCAGUCAUAAUUAAUGACGUCAGCAUUGGGUUCGGCAUGGUCAUCCAUUGUGACGCCACCAUGAACAAAAACCCUACUACCGUGAAGAAUGGUGGAAAUACCUACCUGAACUACGACGGGAGGCUUAUCAGACGAGCUAGUUGGCACCUCUUGCCACCUUUCUUCCACCACCGAAGACGGACAAUCUAGACCAAGGGAAGAACUCAUGUUUACCUGAGAUAACGGAGUAAUUUGGAGGAAUGGGAAAGGAAAGAUUCCGAUGAAGCAAGACGGAGAAGAAAGACGAGGAGACUCUCUGGAAUUCGCAAUGCAGGAAAAACUGAAAUGACGGUUGCAAACCCUGCAUUAAUGAUUCUGCAACUGAUGAAAACCGUCAGAAGAACCCUUAGCCGUUGGAUCGAAAUGAUCUAACGGUCAAGCGAUCUUGACUCUUCCACUACUUGCGAAGGCGGGAAAAAGUUAAUGAUGGCUUGAAACUUAAACGACACAUCUUAAAAUGUUGCGUUGCGGUAACUACUCCGCACCCCCUCAAGCACCCGGGCGCCUAGUCUACUAAAGCUAACUCAUAAUUCGAACUGACCGGCCUGUAGAGAUUACUCGUAGCCAGGAGUGAUCAGCAUAACGAGAUUACUCUUUGUUUGAAACGAUCGGCCAAUUGAGGCAGUUUGUAGCCAGAAACGUCUGGUUCUUCAAAAUACUGUGACCCCUCACACUUUAAAGUCCUGCAUUCAAUCGUUGGUGAAGCCCAACGCUUCAUUUGGACUUGGGGGGGAUGAUGUACGAUAUGAUAUUUGGACCGAACGGUUGCAACUAGUGGUCGAGCGGUCCGGAACCAUUAAUGGGCCUCAAUCAUACUAAUGUGGGGUCAUUAUGGUUUUUUAAUUAUUAUUGGGCUUAUGGGCCAUUAUGAGAAUAUGAUUUAUUAAAAUUNUCAUACUAAUGUGGGGUCAUUAUGGUUUUUUAAUUAUUAUUGGGCUUAUGGGCCAUUAUGAGAAUAUGAUUUAUUAAAAUUAUAUCUUAACAACUUUUAAAGGAUAAGAUAAGAUCAGAUAAAAUCUGAACAGCCAGAUAUUCAGGUAUAACCGUUUAUAUUAUAUUCUGUUUAUAUUUGAUAAUAACCUAUAAAUACAGGGCUAGAAUCACAAGCCAGGUACGCUCUCUUGUGCUAUUUUGCUCUACAAUAUACUUGCUACGUUUCGUCUAAUUCACUCUGAAUUAGUUGAGUGAUUUCACUCUACAUUCUCAUACUGAGAAUUCUUGGCCUUGCAUUCAAGGCUCUUUUAUACAAAACCCUAACUUGGGCGUCGGAGUGCCAUUGCAGGUACCUCCUCCCUCUGGUCCAAGCUUGGAGACUCCCUGACGGUUGAAGAUUGAAGAGGAUAAAGCGCUGCAGAACAGGAUUGUCACGUCAUCCAGGUCAGACCUUCCGGCCCCCAAAAUAUUUACCGAAGCAAUAUAUAUAUAUAUAUAUAUAUAUAUAUAUAUAUAUAUAUAUAUAUAAUAUAGNNNNNNNNNNNNNNNNNNNNNNNNNNNNNNNNNNNNNNNNNNNNNNNNNNNNNNNNNNNNNNNNNNNNNNNNNNNNNNNNNNNNNNNNNNNNNNNNNNNNNNNNNNNNNNNNNNNNNNNNNNNNNNNNNNNNNNNNNNNNNNNNNNNNNNNNNNNNNNNNNNNNNNNNNNNNNNNNNNNNNNNNNNNNNNNNNNNNNNNNNNNNNNNNNNNNNNNNNNNNNNNNNNNNNNNNNNNNNNNNNNNNNNNNNNNNNNNNNNNNNNNNNNNNNNNNNNNNNNNNNNNNNNNNNNNNNNNNNNNNNNNNNNNNNNNNNNNNNNNNNNNNNNNNNNNNNNNNNNNNNNNNNNNNNNNNNNNNNNNNNNNNNNNNNNNNNNNNNNNNNNNNNNNNNNNNNNNNNNNNNNNNNNNNNNNNNNNNNNNNNNNNNNNNNNNNNNNNNNNNNNNNNNNNNNNNNNNNNNNNNNNNNNNNNNNNNNNNNNNNNNNNNNNNNNNNNNNNNNNNNNNNNNNNNNNNNNNNNNNNNNNNNNNNNNNNNNNNNNNNNNNNNNNNNNNNNNNNNNNNNNNNNNNNNNNNNNNNNNNNNNNNNNNNNNNNNNNNNNNNNNNNNNNNNNNNNNNNNNNNNNNNNNNNNNNNNNNNNNNNNNNNNNNNNNNNNNNNNNNNNNNNNNNNNNNNNNNNNNNNNNNNNNNNNNNNNNNNNNNNNNNNNNNNNNNNNNNNNNNNNNNNNNNNNNNNNNNNNNNNNNNNNNNNNNNNNNNNNNNNNNNNNNNNNNNNNNNNNNNNNNNNNNNNNNNNNNNNNNNNNNNNNNNNNNNNNNNNNNNNNNNNNNNNNNNNNNNNNNNNNNNNNNNNNNNNNNNNNNNNNNNNNNNNNNNNNNNNNNNNNNNNNNNNNNNNNNNNNNNNNNNNNNNNNNNNNNNAUAACUUAUGAAAAUUUAAUUGAUUUAUGAAGGUUUUAUUUACAUGAUUUAAUUUAAAAAUGAAAUUUAAUAAUAAUAAGAAGGGAAAAUAUAUAACACAUCCUCCAAAUGAACGAACAGAGCAAGAGCAACAAAUUACGAUGUCACAGGUUGUUGUGUGUGGCUGAGGGAGAGUACGGAGAUGAGAGAGAAACAAAUUGGAUAAGUGAGGAAGGUGGAUUAGGGUUAGGCAAGGGUUUCUGAUUUUUUUUUUUCAAUUGGGGGCAAUAGUAGGGAUGACAGAUAAAAUGUUGGAAUGAGAGAGAUGAAAGAGAAAGGGUUGAGAGGAAUGAGGGAGGUAAGUAAGGGUUUGGGGGUUUCUUUUUUUUUUUUUUUUAGUUUUGAGAAUGAAAAUUAUUUAAAUAUCCUUGACCUUAUAAAUUAGAAUCCAUGAUAAAUUAGGGUAUUUUUGUCUACUAUAAUCUGGUACACAUUGUUAAAACGUACCAACUGAAAAACAGGCGUACGCGUGUUAACAAACCCCUAUAAUAUAAUAUAAAGUAAAUUAAAUAUAAAUAUAAAUUUAAUUUAAGUUAAAUUUAACUUAAUAAAAUAUAAAUUAAUUUUAUUUUUAAUUAAAUUUAAUUUAAAAUAAUAAAAAUUAAUAUUUUUUUAUUAUUUUUUGCGAGUAGCAGGUACCUGUGGGGCGGAUAGUUUAAUACCCACACCCAACCCAUUUAGAAACCGGUAUUAAAAUAUCCACUACCCGUUAUCUGUGGGUAUCAAUUACCCGUAGAUAUCUAUUAUCCGCGGGUAUUAAUUAUCCGUAACAGAUUUUAUCCACGGAUAUCCGUAGGCACAAAUUUUUUUGCCAACCCUAAUCUUUCUAUAACUUCUUUUAAUAAUUCAACAGUAUUUUCUAUUUUAUUUUUCCUUUCGAUCCUACUUGAGUUUUUUUGUUGUUGUGUUUAAAACAUUUUCACCGAGAAUUAGGAAACUACUAUGCAUGUUUUGGUUGUUUAAUUUUUACUUUACUUUUAUUAAAUUAUAGAACUUAUUAAGCAUUGUGCUUGUAAUGAAAUAUAAAUUAUCUUACAUUUUAAUUAAUUUAUUCAUACUUUUCUCAUAAUUCAAAAUUUGGUAUUUCAUAGUUAAAAUAUAUUUCUAUAUUUGCCACAUUUUCGAUUUUUCGAGAACAGUAUAACUACGAAAAAUAAACUAGAGUGUACAAAACUAUAUUAAAAGUAAUUGACAAUACACUACGUAAAGUUUGAAAAAAUAUAUUUUAUCCAAAUUAUCGGUUUAUUUAAUAUUUAGUUAUAAGAUAACUAAAUAUUAAAUAAUCCUAGCCACUAAUCCCUUCUUUUUCAUUCUUCUUUCCCAUUUUCCAAUCUUGGCGUGGUGGAGAUUUAUAAUAGUUUACUGGUGCGGUAAAGAUCUAAAUUCGUGAGGUAAGGUAGGUCAUAUUUCAAAGUAUUGCAAGAUAGAGAGACAAAGGGGGAGGGGAGGGGGGGGGUGGACGAAUUUUGUUAUUGAAGAUGUAGAAGAAUUGUUGUUGGCAAAGAGCUCGAAUGCAGUAAUGAAGGGCAUUACCGAAGGCCAAAAUCCCUCGGAAAAUGCUAUAAGCCGUCGCUAAAGACCCAUUACCGAAGGCCCGGCGACGGCCAAAAAGCCCUCGGUAAAUACCUUGUCGCUAAAUAUUACCGAGGGCUUUUGGCCCUCAGUAAUUACCGAAGGCUUUACCGAGGGCCAGAAGCCUUCGGUAAGUCAAAAAUAAUGUGACAGCAGAGUAGAAAAAUCAAAGGAAACAAUUAAUUGAUCUAAGACAGAUUCAAGGGUUGCAGAUCUGCAAACAAUCAUGGCUACUACACAAAAAUAAAUGUUAGAUGUACAAUUUACAAGGAAAAGGAAGAGAUAAUUUUGAUCUAGGGAAGCAGGAGAUACAAGCUUCAUAUAAAGCACGAAAACAUCUUACUAUGAACUUGUGCACUUACAUUUGCAGGGUCACCUUUGAUCAACUCCUUUUACCUUUUCUCUUCCUCCUUUGCUUUCUUAUCCAUGUAGACAAGCCAACCAUACCUUUUAACCCCAUAUUCUUUAGCAAUUAUUUCCAUUCCUUCAUUAUUGCUAUCAUCACUAUUAAAAUCUUCAUCAUCAUCAUCUUCUGAAAUAUGGGUUUCUUCUUUUCCAUUCCCAUCAUAAGAAAACCCAACUUGUGAGUAAGAUCCUUUACUUGCAGAAGGCUGUGGUAAAUUAGAUCUACAUGUGUACAUACAUAAAUAAAGUAAGAUCAUUUGCUAUGAAGUAUACUAACUCAACAUCAUAUAAGGAUAUAGUUGUUGUUACUAAUUGCUAAGAUUCAGUUUUAGAAAUGGAACAAAAAUUAUAGCAUAAAUAAUAUAAUGAAACUAAUAUUCCAAAACACAAUCUAAUAACAUAGAAACAAUAAACAUAUCCACACUAAAAAAGCUACAAAUAACUCAAGCAACAUAUUGUCAGUAGAUAUUGCUUACAUAUAAUAUUAAGGAUUAGGAACUUAAAAAUUAGUAUGUCGCAUAUAUGAUGUCAAGUGACUAAAAAAUAGUUGAAUAUGCAUGAACAGAUCAACCUAACAGUGGAUGCAAAUCUCAAAUGACCAAAUAUAUGUCUACAAACUGUAAAAAUGCAUCAAAACCUUCAGAUUCAACAAAACACAUUGGUUGUGGAGCAAAAAUGCAUAAAACCACACCAAAAUUGNUGCAGAAUUUACAAAACAGCAGAGUCAAAGCUGGUUGGUUCUAUCAAAUGCACAAGAAGGUCCUAAAUUACUAUAUCUAGCCUCAGGAUUUAAGCUAGCAAAUUUUGUUAAAGCAAAGACCAAUCAAAGAUAUCAAGUACGGUGCAAAACUUGGCUGAAAACACUGUGACAGUUUUGGAAACUAGAAUUAUGUAGAGUGUGAAACCAUAUUUUUAAGAACUUAACCACUGAUUUUGAGAUAUUAUGGGUCAUUUUUCGUGCCACUGUUAUUCUGAGGUGUUUGGAAGUUUAAACAAGUCCUAAUUGUUGUUUUAAAACUGUUAGAACAGUUCAUUUGAAGUCAGAUACAUUUCUAUGCAAUUUAGUAUGUCAAACCACCAUAUUUGAGCAAUUUUUGGAACUUGCAAGGUGAAUUUGAGAUGCAGUUCUCUUUUGAUCCAAAAUUGAGUUUAAACAAGUAUAUUUGGAUGAUUUUAAACUGUUUGAAGGGUUAGUAAAGUGUCAGAAUCAGUUCUGCACAAAAUCACUUCUUAAACCAUCCAUUUUGGGUCAAUUUUGGGAAGUAGAAGGGUAAUUUUGAGCAGCAGUCUUGUUUUAUGUUAAUUCAAAGUUGAAACAUGUUUAAAAUCAUCCAAGAAAGUUACUUAAGUGCUUUGAUUUAUUGCAGAGUUACUGUUGCAUUAGAAAAUGGCCAAAAAUAGCACCAAAAUGGUCAAACUACACUAGAAAAUGGCACUUUAAAUGGUGCUUUCAAACUGAAAAUUGUUUGGCAGUGUUUGGAAAGGUUAAUUGAUGGUGCAAGCAAGUUUAUAUCAUCAAUUAGAAGGUGUAAAAACACUCAAGCAUCUACAAACUGUACACUGCAGCAAAAUUUCACUUGUUGACUUCCAAAUUUAUGCAAAAUUUAUGGUUUAGGAAGUGAGUUUGCAUAGUAGCUCAAUUUUGAACAAAUGAACAGUGCAAACAAGUUUGGAAUGAUAAAAUAAACUAGCUCAAAUGUGAAGAAAGCACUGAAACAUCCAGAUUCAUCAAAUGACAAUAACAGUUGCCAAAAAUGCAGAAAUUUUCAUCAAUAUUGCACUAGAAAAAUGCUUCUAAAUUGGUGGUUUUAAACCUAUAUUUGGUAGGAAGUGAUGCAACAACUGUAUUGAGUGAUGAAACAACUUUGAAUAAUGAUUUUACAGAUAUGCAAACUGUUACACAACUCAAAAACACAAUACAAUGCAAAAUGAAUGAUUCACUUCCCUUUAAAUCACAAUAUUGAUGGUUUAAAAAGACAAAUCUACAUAUAGGCUGGACAAUGACCAUUUGAACAGUGUACACAAGUUUAAAAUGGUAAAAUAUGCUUGCACAAAUGUGUAAACUGCACAUCCAACUUUCACUCCAUAGAAAACUGAAUUUGGUAAUUCAUUUUGAUGGUUUUUUAUGCAUAAAUUGGCUAUAGCAAGGGUGAAUUUCGAAUCUUGUUGUUUAUGUGCUUUUGGAAAGCCUGAGCAAGUCUAAAUGGAUGUUUGAAAGUUGCUAGCACUGUUCAUUUGGUAAAAAAUGAACCUAUAUGCAGAUUAGUCUUUUAAACCAUCAAUUUUUGGGUAAAAAUGGAAGUGGAAUGAUGAUUUUUAGUUACCAACAGAUUAUACUUCAUUUUAAAGGUUGAACACACUCAAAUUCAUCAAUCAAAGUUGCUUGGACUGUUAAAUUUGAGUUUCAAAUCGUUCUAUUCGAAAUUGGCUUCAAAACCACCAAAUUCAAUCAUAUUUUUUAGUGCAGUUUCAGUUUCAGCCACUGUUUGACAAUUUUGGUGCAAGUGUCAUCUAUUACCUACCUAGAAGAUGAUUUACUCAUAGAAGAUUAUUUAUAUUCAUGCAGCAAAUAAGAAUAGUUAUUAAGAUUGAAACCAUAACAGCAAAAGCUUCAUAAAUUGGAAAAAUUUAAAGACAAAAUAGAAAGCAAGUUGAUUAAUAGUCUAUGAAGUCAAACCCAUUCCUAAAUGGGUGAAUUGAAAGAUGCUACUUAAGAAGAUUUCGUGGUGAGUAAGGCCCACUUUGGGGUUGUUAGACUCCACAGAUUUAUCAUACUGCACCAGAAUUCAGUAAACCAAUUUCUUUUAAUGUUGACAACUUAGAAGCCAAGAAUGAGCAGUUCAAAUGGAACAAGGAAGGAAUAACAACAACAACCCAAAAGUAAGUUAAUAAAGGUUAUAGAACAGAUUAAGAAAGCAAAAAAAAUCAAAAUCACAGCUCCAAAUUCAUUUUAAAACCACCAAUCUUGGGUCACUUUUUUGGUGCAGAGUUGAAAAAUUUAAGUGCUGUUUUAAUGAAGUUGGUAUCAAAUUCCAUUUUGCUUGGAGCAAAACUUGAUUCAGUGAUUUAAAAUAGAAACAAAUGGUUAAAAGAAGCAAAGCAAUUUGUUAAAAGGGGAUUCUUAACCAUGCAACACAAUCAAAACCCAAAACCACAAAAUCUAGGUUUCUUUGAGGCAUUUCAUCAAACACAAAGAGGGCAGCCACCAAAACGUACAUAAUUUGAAGCAAUUGAUUGAAGGAAUAACUUACCCCUACGGCAACGACAACCCUUCUCCGCGACAACCCCUGGAUUAGCCUCCCUCGCCAACUCGAAGCUCUGCUUAAAACCGUGACACCACCUACUGACUCGAUGCGACUCACCUCCUUACGCUGCCAAAGGACCAUCGCCAACAAAUCCUAAGAGAAGCACCGUCCACAACUGAAGGCAUCACGUCAAUGCCUCCGUCCAUCAACCACACACGCUUUUGGACAAUGGAGAGGAGGUCGAGCAUGAUCAAUGGCGAUGGCAGAAUCGUAAUGGAUGACUGCGAAACUGAAGUUCUCUAAGGGACGAAGUAGGAUAACGGUGGGGGAGAGGGGAGAGGGGAAAGGGAACUCAGAAAAGGGAAACCUUGCUUUCGUAGGGAUUUUGGGAGAAUGGAAUAAGGAAAUCCCAAAUUAAGUGAAUGCUUAUACCGACAGGCAAAAGCCUUCGGUAAACACCAUCCUACAUGACUGUCAGAGUAAUCCUUCGGUAUAUGAUUUAUACCGACGGCCAAAAAGGCCUUCAGUAAUAUUCCUUCGGUAUACAACGCAUUUCUUGUAGUGAGUGGACAUGGAAAAUUUGGUCUCAACAACAGAUAAAGUGAUCUCGGUAAAAGGUGCAACAAACGUGGAAAAGAAACUCAAAUAAAAAGAAGAAGAGAUUCAGCGGAUAAGGGGGCUUCUGGAUGAAGCUAAUGAAAUUAGGAAUAAAUAGAGGGUUGAGCUUAAGGAGCUGAAGAAGACGACUCUUGAAAAGGAAGAGAAAGCAUCCAGUGUUCUUGAACCAGAUAAAAAUAGGGAAGAUGAAGAUGAAGGCUGAUGAGAUUUCUACCAACUCGGUAUGGUAUCUAGAUACUAGGGCAAGCAAUCAUAUGUGUGGAAAGGAGAACUUUUUUUAUAAACUCAACAAGGUGGAACCCAAAUUUAUGUCUUUCGGAGAUGACUCGAAGGUGGGCAUGAAAGGAUGUGGACCAAUCCAACAUAUGUAGAAGAAUGGACGAGUUAGAGAGAUUAUGGAUGUUUACUAUGUUCCGAAGCUGAAGAGCAAUAUUUUAAGCAUGAGUCAGAUAAUUGAAAAAAAAUAUUCAGUUUUUAUGAAAAAUCAGGUACUGUAUUUAAAGGAUAAGCAUGGUCGUCUAACAACCCAGGUAAAAACAAAGAAGAACCGGUUGUAUGAACUGGAGGUGAAAAUCAUGGAGAGAAGAUGUUUGAAACAAGAUAUGACUAGCAAGAGCUUGGAUAACUCCAACUCAUAUCUGAUUGAAAGAAGCAUACCCUAUGUGGGAUGAUGCACAUGGAAAGCCGGAGUUUGUUGGGAUAAACUUAAAUUUUAGGGUUUUAUUAAUAAUUUUGUUUAAAUAUUAUUUUAUUAAUUUUUGGGUUUAGUAAUAUUUAGUUUGAUUUUGAUACAGAUAAAUAGGAUACGUAAUUAUGAUUUUAGGUUUAUCUCGGUACAAUAUUAAGCAAAUUUUAUUUUUAAGAUAGUUAAUAUUUUAUUUUGAGUGUUUUUUUAUUCCUGUAAUAUUGUUAGUAUCACAUAUAUUUAAAGUCUUCUAAUUAUUAAUAAAUAGUAGACUCAAUUUUAAAAAAAUAUUUGAAUACGUGUAUAAUGAGAUUUUACUACAAGGGAGGACAGAGUUGGCUGGAAGUUCAGCGUGCUCAUACGCGGACAGUUAAUUGAUAAUCAUUUUCUCUUUUUGUAGAACUUUGGAUACGUUAUCGUUUUACACAUUGCGAUUAUUAGAUUUGUUUCUAACUCUUUUCGUGUUAAAAGUGAUAAAUAUGACUAAUGUUUUUGUUUACUUCCAACAAAGUUAUGCAUUACUGACACAGAUUCCACUUACUUUAUAAAAUUUAAAGCAUUACCACUUUUCCUUCAACAAUUUUAUGGUCAAGUCUUAAGAUAGUUUUUUUUUUUUUUUUUAUGGAUUAGUUAAAUAUAAAAAGUUAAUUACAUUCGUAUUAUGAUAAUUUUUUUAUAAAAUGGUAUUUAAAUAUUCAAAUUUAACACGAAAGUACUAACUAAUGAAAACAGAAAAGAAUAAGAAUGAUGGCAAACAAUUUCGUUUAUAUUUAAUCGAACUUAAGCAAAUGUAAAAGAACAUAAAUUUAAAAUUGCAAAAAACCAAACAGAAAUAAUAAUUUUUUAGCUCUGGAAAUAUUUUGUAAUUUUUCUAUUUUAUAGUUUGAUUUGUUUUAAGAAUAUAAUUCUUUUGUUAAAUAUGAAUUCAAAAGAAGAAUGCUUGCUGUAUGUAGUCCAUUUCAGUUUCGUCAUUCAUGAAGAGUGGAUGCACCGAAUGUUAUAUAUAUAUAUAUAUAUAUAUAUAUAUAUAUAUAUAUAUAUAUAUAUAUAUAUAUAUAUAUACAUCUAUAUAUAUGGUUAUGGAAAGUGCUUUAACUCAACAACACCAAUCUAGUUUUGAUACUCACAGAAUUCUAUCCAUCUAGUUUUGAUAACAACAUCUAGGCUGGAAUCAAAUCAAUAGCACACUACCUGACUUCUCAACAUUCACAUCCUUAAAAAUAUUAUAUCUUCACAACAAUAAGCUAAAUGGAGAGAUUUCUAAGGACAUUCAAUUUCCACCUAAAUUGAAGAACCUCUACAUGUAUUCAAAUUCUUUAAAGGGUGUGCUGACUGACUACCACUUUGCUAAUAUGUCUAUGUUACAGGACUUGGAUUUAUCUGACAACUCAUUGGGUUUGACAUUUACUCAAAACUGGGUUCCACAUUUUCAAUUGCUAUUUAUAAACUUGAGAUCCUGCAAGCUAGGUCCAACAUUUCCCAUGUGGUUGCAGACACAAAAUAAAUUUUUUGAUAUUGACAUUUCAAAUGCUACAAUAUCAGAUAUUAUUCCUGAAUGGUUUUGGGCUAAAUUACCUCUACAAAAAGUGAUGACAAUGAAUAUUUCAUACAACAGUCUACAAGGUACAAUUCCAAAUGUUUCAUCCACGUAUGUUUCUAGUUCCAUGCUCUUGGGAUCAAAUCAAUUUGAAGGUUCUAUUCCUCUAUUUUUACAGAAUUCUCAAAUUCUUGAUUUAUUAAAAAAUAAAUUCUCAUAUCCUAUUUCAUUUUUGUGUGGAGCUGAUGCAAUUUCAGUUCAACUUCAUUUAGACAUUUCAUAUAAUCAGUUAUUUGGAGAUAUUCCAGAUUGUUGGAAACAAAUUAAUUCACUAGUUUAUUUAGAUUUGAGUUACAAUAACUUUUCAGGAAAAAUUCCAACGUCAAUAGGAUGGCUUCUUGAUCUUCAAGUAUUAUUGUUGAGAAACAACAAUUUAGUAGAAGGAAUCCCUUUCUCCAUAAGAAACUGUACAGAACUAAUAAUGCUUGAUUUGUCAGAAAACAAAUUGUCAGGUUCUAUCCCUGAUUGGAUUGGGACAACAAAAGAGUUGGAAAUACUAAGUCUUGGAAAGAAUCAAUUCUUUGGGAGUUUACCAUUAACGGUUUGCCAUCUAAGAAACCUUCAUCUCUUGGAUCUCUCACUAAACAACUUAUGUGGAAAAAUUCCUAAAUGCAUAAACAACCUUACUUCAAUGGCUUCAACAUCUUCAACGUAUCUUCACUAUUAUGUGAUUACUGCAAGGUUGACAUGGAAAGGUUCAAAACAAGUGUUUAUGGAUAAAGUUUUGUCACUUUUAUAAAUCAUUGAUCUCUCAAGCAAUCAUUUCUCAGAAGAAAUUCCUAUCGAAAUAGAGAAAUUAUCUGGACUAAUUUCGUUAAACUUAUCAAGAAACAAUUUGAUUGGAAACAUUCCUUCAAACAUGGGAAAUUUGACAUCACUUGAUUCUCUUGAUUUGUUAAGAAACCGAUUUGUUGGUUCAAUUCCUCUAAGUCAUGCUCAAAUUUAUAGACUUGGUGUGUUAGAUUUGUCCCAUAACCAUCUAAGUGGAGAAAUUCCUACAAGCACACAAUUACAGAGUUUCAGUAACACUAGUGCAGCGAGGGGCUUUUACCGCGGUUAUUUUUCAUUAUAGGUCGCGGUUUACGAACCGCGGCAUAUUCAGCCGUGGUAGUAAGUCAAAGACUUUAGGCCGCGGUUACAACCGCGGUAUAUAAGUUCCUUAAUAUGCCGCGGUUGUCCAAAGAACCGCUGCCUAAGUCCCUUUUUUUAAAAAAAAAAAAUUGUCCACUAUAUGCUGCGGUUGAACCGCGGCAAAAAGUGUCCACUAUAGGCCGCGGUUAGUGCAAGAACCGCGGCGAUAUGUCUCUUUUUAAAAAAAAAAUUAAAACGAAAAAGUAUAUGCCGCGGUUCAGGUCACAACCGCGACAUAUUCCCCUACAGUUUUUUAAAAUUGCAGGUCUGUUUUUGUGAUAUCCACUACCACAAAAACAGACCUGCAUAUAAAAACAUGUACAGAAAUUCAAUUUCAACAUAACAAACACAGGUUCAAAUGUAUUUCAACAUCAAAUAAAGUACAGAGUCUAAGAAAAUACAAUCUAAUGAAAUGCAAUGUUUAAAUCUAAGAGUUAUUGUAUAAUCCCAUUCAAACAGUUCACACAAGGACAUUUAACCUUCACUUCAUCGUCACUUCUCCCCUCAUUAUGUUGCGCAAAUUGUAUAAAUUCCUCUACACCUCUCUCAUACUCAGCACUAAUACGUGGUAAAUUUAUCCAAUUUCGAUCCAUUCCUAAAUUUUACACAAUUAUAUAUUAAAUCAAAUCAUACAAUAAUUUCAAUCAAACAAUCAUACNNNNNNNNNNNNNNNNNNNNNNNNNNNNNNNNNNNNNNNNNNUUUCAAUAAUCUAACAAUAAAACAAAAUUAUUAGUUAAACUUAGUGGAUUAGAGAUAACCAUUCACAAUUUCAUCACAAUUAAAUUGAAAUCAAUUAAAAUCAACAUUUCAUCACAAUUAAAUUCAAGGAAUCGCAUAAAAACAAUUGAAACCACUUCAACAACAUUUCAUCAGAAUCAAUCAUAUACAGAAUCAAUCAUCAUACGAAGCAGGUAUUGAAUAGAUGAAGAUAGCAACAUACCUGUUUUCGUUCUCUUCACAAACAAAUGUGGCACCAGAGAGAAGAAGGUUGCGGCGGAGAAGCAAAAUACGGCACGGUUGCGGCGGAGAAGCAAGGUCCGGCGCGGAGAUGGAAGGAGAAGCAGAGACUGGACGGAGAAGCAGAGACUGGACGAAGAAGCAGAGCGCCUGGACGGAAAUCGCACAAGGAAGAAAAACUGUUUCAGAAAUCGCGUGGGGAAGACGAACUGUGUGGUGAAUUUUGUUUUUUUAACCCUCAGAAGAGAAUCUGCCGCGGUUCUCCACUUAACCGCGGCAUAAUGGGGGAAUAGGCCGCGGUUCUACACAUAACCGCGGCCUAUUCAUUUUAAAAAAUAAUACAGAAUGGCAUUUUUGAAAUUUUUUUUAACUUAUAUGCCGCGGUUCAGCGCCCAACCGCGGCAUAUACCCUGAAAAUUUUAAAAAUUACUGAGACCAGGGAAUAGGCCGCGGUUCUAUGACCAACCGCGGCCUAUUCUCCAACGUUCAGAAACGCUUUAACUGCCUUCCCAACUGCUUUUUGGGGAAUGUCAGCCCCUGCAUUAAAUUGACAGGGGAAUAAGCCGCGGUUGGUCAGAGAAUCGCGGCCUAUUCCCCUGUCAUUAAAUUUUUUACUCUUACGUGGAGGCAAAGGGGUGGGUUGACAGGGGUAUAUGUCGCGGUUAUAUGGGGAACCGCGGCAUAUAAGUUCAAUUUAUUUACAAAAGUGCCACCGCGCAGCAUUAUGCUGCGGUUUCUGGUGAACCGUGGCAUAAUGUGCGCUGUAUAAACCUUUUUUUUUUACUAGUGUAAAUCUAGUUAUGAAGAUAAUCUUAAUCUUUGUGGAACACUUGAAAAAUUGUGUAUUGAUGGGCAGCUGAUACAAAAACCAAAAGUUAAUGUUUAUGAAGAAAAUUCAUUUUUCAAUAAUGAGUUUUUCAUAAGUAUGGCAAUUGGAUUUACUCUAAGUUUUUGGAUGCUGUUUGGUCAAUCUUAUUCAAACGUUCUUGACGAUGGUCUUAUUUCAACUUCUUGAACAACUUAGAAGACAAUGUUCAUGUCAAAAUAGCAAUAUUUGUUAGAGAACUUAAGCGGGAGAAAUAUUAACAGGUAAUAAUAUCAUAUGUUUUAUACAACUUUGUUUUCUCUAUGUAUUAAAUGCACAGUUAUAUUUCUUUUUCAAUGUUUCUAUAUCUUUUUAUUGAUUAAAAUAAAAUUAUCAAAUUAUUAUUAUGUUUAAUAUUGAACCAAUUUUUAAAAUUCAAUUAGUUGCUUUUGAAAUUAAUUAUGUCAAAGUCAUUAGAUUUAUUGCACAAGAACAAUUAAAUGUGUAAAUAUAGCAUGUUAAGUAAUCAAGAAAAUGACUUCUUGCUCGUUUGCAAAUUUAGAUGAAAAGUUUGCAAUAAAAUAACUACCAAAAUAAUUGAUAUUCUUGAUAGUUUUAUAAAAAAUAAAUAAAUAAAAAAUAAAUAAAUAAAUAAAUAAAUAAAACUGCUUCCCUUGCUACCAUGAAAUCAUGUUUUUUCAUUAGUAAACUUCUGAGAUCUUUAUCUAUCAUUAGUUUUUCUUUAACCUGAUUAUUAUUCUUAUUACUUUAAAAUUUUAAACAUGCCAUUUCAAUGUACACAUUUCGAAGAACUAACAUUCUUUGCAUUGUAUUAUUUUUCAAUUUUCAGGCACUGAAACUCAUCAUCCUCUUGCACGACUCCACCUUCGAGCAUGUAAUGGUUUCUUUAAAUUAUAAACGUCAUUGAGCAUUGUGCUUGUAGUAAAAAAUAAAUUGUCAUACAUAUUAUUAACAAUUAAACUUCCGUCUAAAAUAUUUUUCUGUUAAUUACAUUUCAUAUAUUUGCCUCAGGAAAGUUUCAUCAUUUCAAUGUGACUUAUUUUCAAUUUUACAAAUUUCUAUAAAUUACUUUAUAGAAAAAUUAUAUAUAUAAAUAUAAAAACAGAGUGAUGAUGACCACUUUAAACUUAUUUAUCGAGAGUGAAUAUUUGCUACAUACAUAUAGUUGAUAAAAAACUAAAUUGAAAAAUAAUUAUUUCAAAUUCAAUACAUCUUAAAUAUUCAAAAUAAAAUAAGGAAAAGAAAAUAUAAAAUAAGUUAAGAGUUAAAAACUGAAAGGAAAGUAGAGAAAUAUACUGGCAAGGAUGUGAGUGUAUGUGACAAAGAUCGCACAAAAUACAGAAUAAUGAAAAAUUAUAUCUAGUUUGGAAAGUUUUAAAACCAAAAGAAAAUCUCAACUUUGUGAUCACUUCCCAGCCCUAAAAGAAUACCGUUUCAAGAGCAAAAGUAGAAAAAAAUGUUAAUUAUGCAGUUUCAACGUCUUUGGGAAAGAAUGCUAGAAAUUGCAAGUGAAAGAGGAUCAUCCACCAAAUCACUCAACACGAAAUUCAUAAGAAAUUAAUAUUUAAAGUAAUUUCUCCAUGCGCAACAAUAAAUUAUAUUCCUCUUUUACGUAGUAAUUUAUGUAAUACUUUGUGUUGCUUAUUUCGCAACACGUAAUAGCAUAUAAACAAGUGCAACAAUUGUCUUAUGUGCAUAAAAUGUCUUUCAAUAUAGUAGUACAUUCACUUUUAAACAAGGCAUCUACAAAUUCUAUCAAAAUCAUACAAUGUAUAAAAACUAAAAAUUUAGUAUCCAAAUCACCUUCACAUAUAAGUCAUAUUCAAAAUAUGAUAAAAAAAGUUUACCUAUGAGUGUUUCAUUGCUUCAUUGAUUCAAUCAAUGUUAAUAUGGUACGUAUAUUAUGCAAAUAUCUCUUCAUGAGAAAUUUUUAUAUGAUAAUAAAUACUGAACGCUAUGAAAAAUUUUAUAUGAUAAUUAAUUAUGAUUAAGAAGGAAUUUGAUAAUGGGUGCUUUGCAAAUUAUGAAUAGAAAAGAUGCAUAAAACAUUUAUACAAAAUGCAUGAAACUUGAACUUUAGUCAUUUACUGUAAUGAUGAGAUGACCAAAAUUUGGUAUAUAAAUUUUACACCAAGAAAAUGUUAAAAAAGAAAAAAAAAAGUAGUGAUUUCUCUUGUGCUUCUUUAAUUGAGAUAUUAAUGACUUAAGCAUUUGGAUGUCGUGGUCUGUGCUUCAUUCAUCAUUAUUUUGAGUAGGGGUGGGCAAAUAGCACUGUAAUGCUAAAAACUGUACUGAACUAAAAACUAAUUUGUUUAAACUGAACUGAAAAAUAGUUCAGACAAACUAAACUGAAUUGUACUGUACUAAAUUAUACUAAACUACAAUAUAAACUGAACUGAACUACUAACUGAAUUAUAAAUUGUACUAAACUACAAUAUAAACUAAACUGAACUACUAACUGAAUUGUAAAUUGUACUAAACUACAAUAUAAACUGAACUAAACUACUAAUUGAAUUGUAAACUGCACUAAUUUUAACUACUAUACUAUUUUUACUUUUUUUAGAGGAAAAGUACUCUUAUUAGAAAAAAAAAAAACCACCUGAGUAUAUAAAUUAAUUAGUUUAUGUAUAAAUUUGUUUGUAAAAUUUCAUCUCAUUAAUUUUUAAGGUAUAAAUUUCAUGUAGUUUAUAGAAAAAAAUAUAUUUUUUUUGUUUCCUAAUAAUUUCUUUAUAUUUUUAUUUUUGGAGAAAAUUAAAUAUUUUGAAAAAUCACGUCAACUUUAUACAUUUAAUUAAAGACAUUGCUUUUGGGCAGAUGCGAUAGGAUCUAACACAUUCCUUAUGCGUAAUUGAUUCCCGAACCUAAAAUCCAAUUUUCGUAAAUCAUGUCCUAUUUUAUGGUUUUUCAUAGUUUUUCAAAAAUAAAUUUUGGUGACAACUCCUAAAAUCUUUUCUUAAACCCGUUUGUUUUCGGUUCGUGGUCCCUUCGCAAUGCCCAUUGGAACAAAACUAUAUAAAAUAAAGUCAAACAUUACCGAGAAUUAAGUCAGACAUAUAUUUUGAAAUAAAAGUGAAAAAACAUAUAUAUUUUUAAUUAUAGAUUUUUGUCAUAAGAUAUGAAAGAUCCUAUCUAAAACUAAAAGAUGAAUCUAAAGUUUAUCCAAACAACUUUCUAACUUGUUAAUGCUAUACAAUAAGUAUGGAAAUUAUAUAUGAAUUCUUAAAAGUCCUGUAUUUUUGUGAUAGAUAUAAAAUAACACGAAAUUUACAACGUAACAUUAGUUUUAGUAUGACAGAUAUAUGGUUUGAAUGACGUAAAAUAAUUACGUUAAGUGGGGAAAGUUGACAGAGUUGAGCAUGUUCAUACGCGGACAGUUAAUAGAUAAUCGUUUUCUCUUUUUGUAGAACUUUGGAUAUGUUAUCGUUUUACACAUUGCGAUGACCAAUAUUUUCUUUUUGACUAUAUGAGGGGAUUGGAUUUGUUUCUAAGUCUUUUGGUGUUAAAGUGAUACAUAUGACUAAUGCUUUUGUUUUCUUCCAACAAAGUUAUGCAUUAGUGACAGAGAUUCCACUUACUUUUAAAAAUUUAAAGCAUUACACCACUUUCCCUUAAUCAAUUUUAUGGUUAAGUCUUUUUACCUUCUCAGCACUUCACUUUUUUCUUAACAUAAAAUAAAAAUAUAAACAACCAUUACCCUAUAAUCAUAUCGUAUAAAUCAAAGUCAUGCUGAAAUAUAAAUACACAUAGCAACCUUCAAUGUCUAACUUAUAAUUUUUAUGGAUCAGUUAAAUACAAAAAGUAAAUUACAUUCAUAUUUAUAGUUUUUUUUAUUAAAUAGUUAAACAUUCAAAUAUAACACGAAAAUAAUAACUGAUGAAAACAUAAAAGUGUUGGAAAGGAUCCUUAUACAUAUAUAUCUCCACGCUAGUAAAAUAAAUAAAUAAAUAUAUAUAUAUAUAUAUAUAUAUAUAUAUAUAUAUAUAUAUAUAUAUAUAUAUAUAUAUAUUGAUUGAAUAAUAAGUUUUUAGUAUAAGAAAAUAUUUGAAAUUCAUAAUACACUUAAUCAUAAAUAUUUGUUUUCGUUUUUACUAGAUACGAAGGGAUUCUUCGAGGUGGAGUAUAAGGUUCUCACCUCAGUAAAAUUAUAGAAGAUAUGUAUAAGAAUUAAUAUCGAAUGAGUAUUGUAUAAGAAUUCCAUACAAGAAUUCAGCUUAUGCAUUUCUGUAAUGUUUUUAAAAUAGUUUUUAGAUGACUUUUCAUUUGAGCUUAUUAUGUGUUACGUUUAAACAUUGAAGAGGUUUUAGUCUUCUCAGAUGUUUUCAAUCGAGUCCAUUAUGCAUUGUGGCUAAAUGUUAUCUUCUCGAAUGUGUGUCAAUCUGAGUUUAUGUAGUCCUUUUAGACACUUUUAAGUAGUUCUCGGAUAUACUUCAAUCUGAACAAUUGUCCUAAAAUAUGAUUUCUCGGAUAUACUUUAAUUGAUUAUACAAUUAAUAUAAUCAGAUAAAACAUAGAUAUUUUGCCGCUAUUAUGCAUAUGCUGAAAUCUGAUGAAAUUUAACAUAUUAUACAAACAGUUAACUGAUUAUUUCAUGCUGAUAUGUAAUGUGUAAUGUAUUUCAAUCUGUGGUUCUUUUUCAAUCAAUGAAUACACGUACCAAAUACUUCAAGCACACACAGAGUAAACAUCAAUCAACAAUUUUGCCAUUUAUGGUGCAAGAAACUAUAAAUAAUUUAUUUUUUCAUCAUCAAAAACUCAUAUGUGAGAUCUGGUUUUAGUUGUACAUGGUUCUCCCUAUCAAUAAUCUCCCCUUUUUUUGAUUAUGCAUAACAAGAAAUCUGUUUUUCAGUUACUCUCCUCCUUUAAGCAUUAAAAAAAAUGACAAUACAAGUAAUAUGGAAACAAAGUGCUAAAGAAUACAUCAAACAGAAAUUCUUCCAGACCAUUGAAAAAUAUGAGAUUUAUGACAAUAGAAAUCAGAACUCAAAGAAUCAAAUGAAAACAAUAUGACAGUAGAUGAAUGUAUAUAGAUUAGAAUAUAUACUGAGUUCAAAUGGGAUAUCAUGAUGUAUCAUGUGCAAUUUUGCAACUCCUAGAUAUGAUUUAUGCAAUUGAUAUGAAGUACAUAGUGUAUAAUUGCAAGAUUGAUACAUGAUAUCAACUAGUUCAGGAGCAGAAUAGAUAUAACAAUGUAGGUAAGUCUGCAACAUUGGUGCAUUCUUGAAGCAUAUGCAUAGAUUUUCAAAACAUUUUUUGAAUAAUAUGCAACAUUUGCGUGACUUUUAAUCGAUUACAUUAUGAGUCUAACCGAUUAAAAUAACUAGAGAGAAUUUAACAGAUUAUGGAUGUAUCUAAUCUGUUUAAAUUCGUGAAUGUGAUCAAAAUUUUCAAUUUUGAUCUCUUAACCAGUAAGGAUUAAUGUACAACGUGCAAGCACAACUUUCUCAACUAUGUUGGGUGUUAUAUAUAUAUAUAUAUAUAUAUAUAUAUAUAUAUAUAUAUAUAUAUAUAUAUAUAUAUAUAUAUAUAUAUAUAUAUAUAUAUAUAUAUNUAUAUAUAUAUAUAUAUAUAUAUAUAUAUAUAUAUAUAUAUAUAUAUAUAUAUAUAUAUAUAUAUAUAUAUAUAUAUAUAUAUAUAUAUUUUCAAUUUAGAUGAUUCCCGUGUUCGGCUGUGUCAUAUGUAUUGGUGUAUGUGUACAUAUGUUUGUGCUUUAUUGCAGUUGCUUUACAAAAAUGCAUUCAAACGUCAUCACGUGUUUGACGAAAAGAAUAUAAGAAUGGUUAGAAUUGACGUUCACAUAGGAUUUACGAAUCGAUAUGAGAUUUGACAUUAAACCAAGAUUUGAGAUUGAAUCGUGAUUGGAAAUGAGUUGGGAUUUAGGUUUAACAUAUAAAUGAAAUAGGGUUUAGUGCAAUACGUUUUGGGUAGAAGAAAGAAAAAAAAUAAUGAUAAAUAUAUUAAUAUUUGACUUACAAUUAUUAUAAAGAUAAAAUAAUAAAAUGAAAAAGACAAAAGUAAUGAAAACGAGUAUCAUUAAAAAAAUGGAAUAGAGUUACUUUAAGGAAAAAUUACUAACAAGGUCAUGCAAUCAUAGAACUCUUUUGUUAUAUAUAUGUGUGUGGUUAUGGAAAGUGCUUUAACUCAACAACACCAGGCUGGUUUUGAUACUCACAGAAUUGUAUCCAUCAGUUUUAGUGUGUGAUGAUAACACCCAGAACAACCUCAAUGAAGAAUCCAGUUGGUUUUUUAAGAUUGAUGAUGUUUAUGCUGUGUGUGGUGUCGGAGGUUGUUAAUGGUGAAGAGGAGAUUAGAUGCAUUCGAGAGGAGAGGGAAGCGCUCCUCCAAUUCAAGGCUGCCAUUGUCGAUCCCUAUGGCAUGCUAUCAUCUUGGACCACUCCUCAUUGCUGCCAAUGGGAGCGGAUUCAUUGCAGCAACCUCACCUCCCAUAUUCUCAGUCUCGACCUUCACGGAGACCUUCUUUACAAAUUUCUUCCCGGUGGCAGCUUUCAAUUCAAUGGACGUUAUAUGAGCGGAGAGAUCCACAAGUCGUUGAUGGAGUUGCAACAAUUACAGUAUUUGAACCUCAGUUCUAAUUAUUUUCCAGACACUGACAUCCCAGAGUUUCUUGCUUCUCUCAAAAACUUGAAACACCUUGAUCUCUCUUUAUGUCGUUUUAGAGGAAGAAUUCCAAGUCAAUUAGGCUCUCUUUCUCAUUUGGAAUACUUAAAUCUUGCUCAUAAUUAUCUGAGCAAUGUAAUCCCUUAUCAGCUUGGAAAUCUCUCCCAAUUGCAGCAUCUUGAUCUCAGUGGCAAUCCUUUUUUAGAAGGAAAUAUACCUCCUCAACUUGGAAAGCUCUCCCAGUUGCAGCAUCUUGAUCUCAGUGAAAAUCUUUUACAAGGAAUUAUACCAUCUCAACUUGGAAAUCUCUCCCAAUUGCAUGAGCUCUACCUUGGACGAUAUUACGGUUAUAUUAAAAUGAGUGACGGAGGUCAGUGGCUCUCAAAUCUCAUUUCUUUAACCCACCUUUCUUUGGAAUCUGUAUCAAAUCCUAUUACUUCUCAUACUUGGUUGGAAGUGAUUGCAAAGCUACCCAAACUAAGAGAACUAAGUUUAGUUCAUUGUAGUCUUUCCGAUCAUUUCAUUCUGUCAUCUAAGUUUAAUUUUUCUACUUCCCUCUCUGUCCUUCAUCUUUCUCAUAACACUUUCACAUCACGAAUGGUAUUCCAGUGGGUCUCAAACAUCACUUCCAACCUUGUUUACCUUGACCUUAGCAAUAACCUCUUAGAGGGUUCAACGUCAAGUGAUUUUGGCAUUGUCAUGAAUUCGCUUAGGCAUCUUGACCUCUCCGAUAAUAAUUUCAAGGCCAGGGAUUUGAAAUCCUUCAUUAAUAUAUUAAUAUAUGCACCUUACAUUCUUUAGACCUAUCUUUAAACAAUUUGACUGAAGACCUUCCCUCCAUUCUCGGUAAUUUGUCCAGUGGAUGCGUUAGACAAUCAUUACAAGAAUUGGAUCUGUCAUCAAAUCACAUCACUGGCACUUUGUCUGACAUUUCAGUAUUCUCUUCUUUGAAAUCAUUGUUUCUUUUUGGAAAUCUGUUAAGUGGAAGGAUACCUGAAGGUGUGAAUUUACCAUCUACUUUGGAGGAUUUGUCAGUUCGGUCAAAUUCAUUAGAAAGUGGAAUUCCAAAAUCAUUUGGCAAUGCAUGUUCUUUGUUGUCAUUGGACAUCUCUAAUACUGGCUUGAGUGAUGAGCUUCCCAUUAUAAUUUCUCAUUUGUCUGGAUGUGUUAGAUAUUCAUUGCAAAGAUUAGUUCUAGACACAAAUCAAAUCAAUGGCACACUACCUGACUUUUCAACAUUCAUAUCUUUAAAAAUAUUAUAUCUUGACGACAAUAAGCUAAAUGGAGAGAUUCCUAUGGACAUUCAAUUUCCACCUAAAUUGGAGGAGCUCUACAUCUCUUCAAAUUCUUUAAAGGGUGUGCUCACUGACUACCACUUUGCUAAUAUGUCUAAGUUACAGAAGUUGGAUUUAUCUGACAACUCAUUAGGCUUGGCAUUUACACAAAACUGGGUUCCACAUUUUCAAUUGAUAUCUAUAAACUUGAGAUCCUGCAAGCUAGGUCCAACAUUUCCCAUGUGGUUGCAGACACAAAAUAAAUUUGUUGAUAUUGACAUUUCAAAUGCUACAAUAUCAGAUAUUGUUCCUGAAUGGUUUUGGGCUAAAUUAUCUCUACAAAGAGUGGUGACAAUGAAUAUUUCAUACAACAGUCUACGAGGUACAAUUCCAAAUGUUUCAUCAACGUAUGUUUCUCUUUCCAUGCACCUUGGAUCAAAUCAAUUUGAAGGUUCUAUUCCACUAUUUUUAUGGAAUUCUCAAAUUCUUGAUUUAUCAAAAAAUAAAUUCUCAAAUCCUAUUUCAUCUUUGUGUGGAGAUUUUGCAAUUUCAGUUCAACUUCAUUUAGACAUUUCAUAUAAUCAGUUAUUUGGAGAUAUUCCAGAUUGUUGGAAACAAAUUAACUCACUAGUUUAUUUAGAUUUGAGUUACAAUAACUUUUCAGGAAAAAUUCCAACGUCAAUAGGAUGGCUUCUUGAUCUUCAAGUAUUAUUGUUGAGAAAUAACAAUUUAGUAGAAGGAAUCCCUUUCUCCAUAAGAAAUUGCACAAAGCUAAAAAUGUUUGAUUUGUCAGAAAACAAAUUAUCGGGAUCUAUCCCUGAUUGGAUUGGGACAAAAGAAGAGUUGCAAAUAUUAAGCCUGAGAAAGAAUCAAUUCUUUGGGAGUUUACCAUUAAUGGUUUGUUGUCUAAGAAAUCUUCAUCUUUUGGAUCUCUCACUAAACAACUUAUCUGGAAAAAUUCCUAAAUGCAUAAACAACCUUACUUCAAUGAUUCAAAUGACAUAUUCAGUCUAUGGUUUUCGUGGGUAUCAGUUGAAAACUUUUCUUUUAGGUGAUCCCAUUCCAUACUAUUUGAAUGCAUGGUUGACAUGGAAAGGUUCAAAACAAAUGUUUAUGGAUGAAGGUUUGUCACUUUUAAAAGUCAUUGAUCUCUCAAGCAAUCAUUUCUCAGAAGAAAUUCCUACAGAAAUAGAGAAAUUAGUUGGACUGAUUUCGUUGAACUUAUCAAGAAACAAUUUGAUUGGAAAAAUUCCUUCAAACAUUGGAAAUAUGACAUCACUUGAUUCUCUUGAUUUGUCAAGAAACCGACUUGUUGGUUCAAUUCCUCUAAGUCUUGCUCAAAUUUAUGGACUUGGUGUGUUAGAUUUGUCUCAUAACCAUCUUAGUGGAAAAAUUCCUACAGGCACACAAUUACAGAGUUUCAAUCAAUCUAGAUAUGAAGAUAAUUUGGAUCUUUGUGGACCACCACUUGAAAAAUUGUGUAUUGAUGGGAAGCUAACACAAAAACCAAAUGUUAAUGUUUAUGAAGAAUAUUCAUUUUUCAAUAAUGAGUUUUUCAUAAGUAUGGGAAUUGAAUUUGCUCUAAGUUUUUGGAUGGUGUUUGGCUCAAUCUUAUUCAAACGUUCUUGCCGAC
rnacentral:lncRNA from 1 species